rnacentral:lncRNA from 1 species
UUUCUUCUCCCCUGCCUGAUUGCAGAGUGCAGUUAAUUUGAAAAUCAUCAAUCUCAGCAACUCACUAAACCUGUCCAGGACUCCAGAUCUUACUGGAAUUCCAAAUCUCGAGAGUCUGAUUCUUGAAGGUUGUACAAGUUUGUCUAAGGUCCAUCCAUCACUUGGAAGUCACAAGAAUCUUCAAUAUGUGAAUCUUGUGAAUUGCGAAAGUAUUAGGAUUCUCCCAAGCAACCUUGAAAUGGAAUCGCUUAAAGUUUUCACUCUUGAUGGCUGCUCAAAACUUGAGAAGUUUCCAGAUGUACUAGGAAACAUGAACUGUUUGAUGGUGCUUUGUUUGGACGAGACUGGUAUUACAAAACUAUCUUCAUCGAUUCGUCAUUUGAUUGGCUUAGGUCUAUUGAGCAUGAAGAACUGCAAGAACCUUGAAAGCAUUCCGAGUAGCAUACGUUGUUUUACCAUGCUUGAAAGAUACCUCCAGGUCUUCUCUUAAUCAUACCCCAACCUCUUUGUAUCUCUCUCUCUCCCCUUCUCUCCAUCUAACAUUUUGGUUUUUCAUGGUAUAGGGUUUGUCUAAUCCAAGACCUGGAUUUGGUAUCGCUGUUCCUGGAAAUGAAAUUCCAGGCUGGUUUAACCAUCAAAGCAAGGGAUCUUCAAUUAGUGUGCAAGUGCCUAGUUGAAGCAUGGGGUUUGUUGCGUGUGUUGCAUUCAGUGCAAAUGGAGAAAGUCCUUCUCUUUUUUGUCAAUUCAAAGCCAAUGGAAGAGAGAAUUAUCCUUCGCCGAUGUGUAUUAGUUGUAACUCUAUCCAAGUUCUGUCAGAUCAUAUUUGGCUAUUCUAUCUAUCUUUUGAUUACCUUAAAGAGCUUAAAGAAUGGCAGCACGGAUCCUUUAGCAACAUUGAGCUGUCAUUUCAUUCUUUCCAGCCAGGAGUAAAGGUGAAGAAUUGUGGUGUCUGUUUGUUAUAUUCUCCAUCAUCUCAAUCUUCUGCCCAUUUUAUUGUUGCAAGCAAAGAAGCAUCUUCUUCAUAUAAAGCUUCUUUAUCGGUGUCUUCAUCUUACCGUCAAUGGAUGGAAGAUCUUGUGAUAAAAAAAAAGUGGUUCGCUGUUUAUAGAACACACAAGCGAAUAAGUUGUUCUGCCUUAUUUAAGCAACAUGAGCAAUGACUUAUGACACCCAAAAAAGAUCUUCAUUGAUGUUUUCUCAUUCACCACGAAGAAUCAGGGCUGUCAAUUAUUAUAUUUGCAAGAGAUUGUGCUUCUUUACCUUGGUGCUUUGACGAACUUGUCAAGAUUGUCGGAUUCAUUGAUGAAAUGAGAUCGGACACUGUGUUUCCAGUUUCUUGUGAUGUUGAACAAUCAAAGAUAAAUGAUCAAACAGAGAGUUACACAAUUGUCUUUGAUAAGAUUGGAAAAAAUCUCAGGGAAAACGAGGAGAAGGUACAAAGAUGGAUGGAUAUUCUCAGUGAAGUUGAGAUUUCAUCUGGAUCGAGAUCAGCGGAAAGGUAUCAUUACUUUUAUUUUAUAUCUCGACGUAUCAACCACUUCAAGUAAAUGAAACUGGGAAUACUGAAAGAUAAGAACUUAAUGUCAACAAAGUUGGAAAAAUAUGAUAAAAGAUCAUAAUUUUUAUUUUUGACUUUCGAAUUGGACUAAAAUUUCUGUAGAUUAUUCCUAAGGCUUAGUUUUACCAUGCAGGGAUGGGGACAAGAAUGUCCAGGUUUCAGGUACUUUUUCUUCAGCUUUCAUGUAUAGCUUUGCUUGUGUAUCGUUUAAAACACAAGAUAAAAUCAUCUUAUUGUUAAAAUUGAAUUGCUGAAUAGACUAAGCUCACUCUAGUCAUACAAAGCAAUGGUUAAUGUACUUGAUACAAAGAAUAGGAAGCAAACAAACUGAACUAUGAAGUACAAAAUUCCAAAGUUAGCACAAAAAUAAAGAAAAAAAAUUAGGGAUGUAUCCCAGUUCAAUUGGUUGAGUAACAUAAUCUAUUGAUUUAAAAAAAAAAAAAAAACAUAAAGCAUUGCGCUACUCACCAUAGCAUAACCUCUAAGAAUUAAAAUCUCAAAAAGUUGUGCUAGGAGUAGCGCGCUCAACCUUUAAAUUUUUUAUGCUAGAGGUUUUGAUAUAUAUAUAUUUCUAAACAAAAAAAAAUUUAAAAUAUAUUGGUUAAGAAAAAAAUUUAAAAUUGUUCAAUGACUGUCUACAUUACAUAACAGAACAUCAAAUCUUUGAUGGGAUUUAAUCAAGUAACCUGAAAAGGUAGCCUCACUGGUGUCAUAAUAACAUUCACAGACUUAGCUUUCAUGGUAGUAGCUAUCUCUCAAGCAACUUUAUUUAUUAUUUAUUUCUUAAUUUCCUUUCCUCAAGUGAUCACUUGAAAAGAUAGCUAUGUGUUUUGAUUGAUGUAUAAUUGUCUUUAAGAACAUACCAUCCUUUUCAAUCUUCAUAGCUCAAGCUCAAGUAUUCAUUGCUGCCCCAAAAUGGAAAUCGAAUUCUUGUACAAAUAUAGUUUGAUAAAAAAAAAAGGUUAUCUUUGUUCGUUGCUUCUUCAUCAUCAUUGUCAUUAAAUGUUUCUAUCUUGAGUCUUAGAUUUUGGAAAUGUAAACAAAAUUCCAAGAUUAAUUUUUGUAUUGUUAUUUCAGGAAGAGUCAAGCCAAGAAGGUAGUUUGUAUUCCAGCACCAGCUGCUGCAAACAGCAGGUCUAGUGGAGAAGUAGUUCCAUCUGACUUGUGGGCAUGGAAAAAAUAUGGACAAAAACACAUCAAGGGUUCUCCUUAUCCAAGGUGUGUGUAUAUAUAUAUAUAUAUUAUAUGAAGUUGAUAAGAUUACAAAGAACAAACAGCUGGAUUUUUCAGUUCUCUAUUCUCUCUAACAAAUUAUAUCAUUGCCUGGAAAAAUGUUUCUUGAUUUAAUUCUUCUUCUUCUUAUUACCCUGAAUAUAUUUUUGCUUAGUAAUGCCCUGAAAAAGUUCUGGUGAACCCAAGUAAUGCUUCCCGAGACACUGAGCUCAAACAGUUUGUUGUUCGGUGCAUAAACAACAUUUUAAGCAUUGAUUGACUGGUUGUAACUUGCAGUGCUAGUGUUGAUGAAUGUGUAUGCACUAUUGUUCUUUGAGCUCAACAGCUUCAAGAGUUCCCAAUUUGCAUGCUCAAAUGAUUGGCAGGAAGUGAAUCCAAAACACUGAGUUUCUUAGCAUAUAAUAUUGUUGUGAACAAUUAGUGGUUUUCUUGUCAUCUUUCUGAUCAGUUUUCAGUUUUGAACUUUGAUUUUCUUUGAGUAAUUAUUAUUGUGAAAGUGGUCUGUAAAUGUUUGGUUAAGAAUUGCACUGAAUGUUAAAACGUAUUGUCUUUCCUUCCAGAGGUUACUACAGAUGCAGCAGCACUAAGGGUUGCUUAGCAAAGAAGCACGUAGAGCGGAGCCGAAAUGAUCCUAACAUGUUGGUCAUCACCUACAAUUCUGAGCAUAACCAUCCAUGGCCAACACAGAGAAAUGCACUUGCUGGCUCAACAAGGUCUCAGCCAACAAAGAGCAAUGCAGCUUCAAAGAGCUCCACAGGUGCUCAAGCACGAAAAACAGCAAAUACAAAGGAAGAUCAGAAGGAGAGUAGCAAUGAUACAUUGUCUCCUACCGAUAUUAUUGGUGGUAGCUCAACAGCAAGCGCAUCUGUUAAAGAGGAGUCUGAUGACAUUGAGAAGCAGAUGGAGAUGGAUGAUAAUGAAUUCAGUGAAGGGUUUUCUUAGAGUUACUGUUGGCGGGAAAGACCACUAGUGGUGACUUUUAAAUAACACACUGUUUUUAUUUCAAAAUAACAAGAAGAUUACAAGCUCUCAAACUCACCCACUCUUUCUCGUAUUUUCCACACACAUUGCAAUGCUUUCUUGAUGUCUAUUUAUAGACAUGAACGGUAGGACAGAAAGGAAAACCAGAGAACAUGCAGAAUAUAUUCCACCAGCUCAUCUUUCUACUUUUUACUAAAGUAGAUGAGUUGUUCCACUUUGUUGCUUUAAUGGAGUGGGACUACCUCACAUGGUAAUGUUCUAACAAUUGGUCCUUAUGAUUGAGGUUAUAGCAACAAAUUCUCUCAUGGUUUAUUUGCUUUCUAGUUAACUUCUUUGGUAAAACUGGAUCUGUGAUGUUUGCUAAGGACACAACUUUCAUAGACUUCAUCUAGAUGAUUAAUAUGGGGCAUAACUUUGACUAUCUUUUUACUUACUAGCAUCUUCAAACUUGUAAAAUUUAGAUGUUCAAGCCUUAGGUGCCAAAGUCACUCUUCAUUGUUGGUGAUGACACUCAAAUACUUUGCUGGAGCAUAUUGGAUGUUUAUAGGAAACAUCUUAUUCUUGAACAUCUUCACAUAGGCAAUUAAUCUCCUAUUAUAAUCUUCAAUUGUUAGAUUACAGUUCUUCAUAAGAAGAGUGUAACCUUUCUCUAGAAGUUGGCCUAUACUCAGCAAGUUAUGCUUAAUUGCUAGAACAUAAUAAACAUCUGCAAUGUAGCUAUGAUCGCCAUUCUUCAAACGAAUUGGGGUGUUGCCUCUUCUUUUCAUUGGAACUUUUGAGGUGUCUCCAAAAAUGACUAGACGUUUUACAGUUUCAUCUAGAUCUCCAAAUAGAUCUCGUUGACCACUCAUGUGAUUGUUAGCUCCAGAAUCCAAAUACCAUAUAUUUUUCUUGUUGUUAUCCAUUUUUGGGUUUCCACAAAAAAAAUUUGAAAAUGAGAAAAUACAAAAAAAAAAAUAUAUGAAAAAUAUUAAAAAAAAUCCAAAAAAUAAUAGGAGCGAGAAAAGGACUGGAAUGCUGAAAAAAGGACAAAAUUGGUUGAGAAGGUUCAAAAAUACAAAAUAUUAAAAUUUAACAGUAUAUUUUUUACUGAUGGGAGUCCUGUUGACAAAUAAAAUUCAAGUUGAGAAAGAAAAGUUUAAAAUCAAAUAUUUAUGGACUCAAGUAAAUUUUAUCUAAGGUUUAAUUGAAUUUAUGGAGGGUUUGAUUACAAGAAAAGAUUGAUUUUCAAAUCAAUUUAGGCUUUUAUUGGAAGAAAUUAAAGUUCUAGGGUCUAAUUAUAAUUUUGAAGAGUUGAUUUGGUCAAAUCAUAGGCUUAAUUGCAUAAUUAUUAAAUUUUGGUGGUCAAUUAGGGACUUAAUUGAAACAAUUCAAAACUAAGAACUAAAUCAGAAAAGGUGCUAAAAUUAAGGGGUCUAAUUACAAUUUUUCCGAGGGGCUUGAUUACAAAAUUACAAAAAAACAUCCAAGGACCAAAUCAGAAAUAUGCAUUUUGAAUUAGCAAACGGCGUCAUUUCCUUGAGAACUGUUGAUCACCUUCUUCAUCUGCAACGGUUUCGACAGUUAAUGAGCGCUAUCAAUGGAGCCAUUUCAACAACAAAAACAGCAGAUUGCUUCAGUUAUGGGGAAUGUUUCACGGCUACUAUUCCUCUACAUGCCGUUACCAAGUUGGACGUUGCACUGCAGGCCAUUCUUUGGCUUAUAAAAGCCAGAGAAAGACGAUGAAAUAAAGGGGAGAACGACAAAAGGAAAACGAGAACAAAGGGAGAAAGGAGAGGUGACAGUGGGGAAAAAAAAAGAAGGGGAGAGAGUCGCACCAUCACUGCCAACGCCAUCGUGAUCAGCUCAUCAUCUACUUCGUCCAGCAGCCACUGCCAUUACCCAUCACAAACGCACCAGCACUGCACAAAGGAGGGGAGAAAAAGAACGAGACAGGGGAAACGAGAGAGGAGAAAGAAGAACAGAGGAGAGAACACAGUGAGAAAUUCAGGAAAAACAAAAGAAGGGCGCAUGAGGAUAUAGAAACCAAAGAGCAAAGGAACAGCAGUAGGACAAAUCGAACGGCGAAGCCAAAACGCAAAGACAGCAGGGGAGGUUAACACCACCAUCGGUUUCCUUUCCCCAGAAGCAGGUAUGUUCAUGUCCUUUCUUCGCAACAAUUGACGCCAGUUUUGUCUAGAAAAACAAAAAGAAACAGGAGACGAAAGUAAGCCAAAAGAUCGCCAUUUCGUUUUUACUCUGUUAAUAACAGCUAUCUGCAAAAAACGAAGGAUGAACAGUGCGAAGGUAAUAUAAUUACACGCAUAGAAUUUUACGCGUGCAUGGCUUGGUCAACCCACAUGGGUGGCUGGGUCCAGCCCAGCCAUUUGGGCCGGGCUGGACCCAGCCCCAAAAAUUCUUGAAAAAAUUAUUUCAAAAAAGGCUGUGAUUUUCCGCAAAUAUUUCUAUUGUAUUUUAAUCAAUAUUGGUUUGUAUUUUUAUACUAUAAAAAUACAAAUUUGGUAUUAAAAUACUCGGUUUUCGUAAAAAAAUAAAAAAAUAAAAAUAAAAUAAAAUGUUUUGUUUUCAUGCAUACGGCUAAGUCUCUCAAAAAUAAAAAUAAAAAUCAUAUUGUAUUUUCAUACAACAAAGAAAAUUUCAAAAAAUAUGUAUUAGCAUGCAUUUUGACUUUAAUAACCAGUUUAUUAAAGUCACGAGAACUAGGCCAAUAUUUCAAAAAUUCCAAAAAAAUUAUUUUGUUUUCUUUUAAUAACUGGGGUUACGACCUUAUACGCAAGACGUAUUCUAGAUAUUAAAUUCUUUUAUUGACAUCAGAAUUACCCGUUAAGAUAAGGAUCUCCUUACCGAGGAGAACUUUUCUUAAACCAUAGAUGGACCACCAACUAGAAAACAUGACAAGACCUUAGAUUUUAUCAUACAAUAAAACAAUGCGGCUUACCUUAGGUAAGGCGUAUUUGGGGUGCUAACACCUUCCUUUUACACAACCAGUCCCCGUACCCGAUCUCUGAGACCAGUUAGGGUUCCUAGUGACCAAAAUACUAGGUAGUGACUCCCAUUCCAUUUUUCCACUAAUAAAAGACAAGAAUACCUUGUCUCCCUAUAUUUGCCGCAUUAGAUCAUAUUUUGAGGGUGUAUGUUUUCGCCGCGACGCCGCACACGUGCGACACUCCUGAUUCUCGCCUAGUCCUUGUUGGACUAAUAAUGCAACUGGUCCUCUUAUGGUGAUAUUAUUAUCUACAUAGUUGACUUCUCCUUCUACCUCUGAUGGAGCUUUUCUUCGACAUUCAAUGCUAUAGUGCCCAAAUUGAUUGCAUUUAUAACACUAGAUAUUUCUCUUGUCAUAGUUGUUAUAACUGCCUCCCCUUCCUCUAGGAGUAAAUGUUUGUUAUCCUCGACCUCCUCUAAUGGUGUUUCUACCACCUCUUCCUCUGAAUUCUGUGUUCCAAGAUCCUCUUCAUUGGAAUCGUUUAAAUCCCCCUCAGCUUUGUUGACCGCUUCCUUGAGUGGUAUAUCCAAUUGUUGAAAUCUCCCUACCCUCCUUGAGAGAUAACUUUGAUUGUAAGGCAUGUUCAAUUGCCUUAUCUUUUUUUACUAUCUUUUGUUCAUGAGCUUGUAAAGAACUCAUAAGCUCAUCCAUUGUCAACUUGUCCAAUUCUUUGGAUUCUUCAAUAGCGACAAUAACAAAAUCAAAUUUUGAAUUUAGGGAUCUCAAAAUUUUCUCAAUAAUCCGAGCAUCUGAAAGGGCUUCUCCAUUUCUUCUCAUGUGAUUGACUAUCACCAUAAUUCUCGUGUGAUAUUCAGAAAUAGAUUCUAAUGACUUCAUUUGUAAUUAUUCAGAUUCACCUCGCAAAGAUUGAAGAAGAAUCUUCUUGAUUCUGCCAGCACCUUUAUAUUUUUGUUGAAGAGCCUCCCAUAUUUCUUUUGAUGUUUCUGCGGAAACUAUGAUCUCAAAUGUGGCUUCAUCAAGACCUUGAUAAAUGAUAGUCUUUAUUGUGUUGUCUUUCUUUCUAUGGGCUCUCAAGACUUGUUUUUGUGUCUCUUGUAAUGAUUCUUCUGCUUUUUUGGACUCUGAUUCAUCAUAACCAUAUUCCACAAUCUCUAUACACUCUUGAGAACCAUGAAAUGCCUUCAAUCUUAUAAACCAAUUAUCAUAGUUGUUUUUGGUCAGCUUUGGGAUAAGUGUUUGUGCAUUUUCUGUAGUCAUUUUAUUCUUUAAAUGACUAUAUCACUUUAUGGGAGUUGAAUUUGGCAAAACGGACACUGUAGAUGGUUUCAGAAUGCCCACAAAUGUAGGGUCAGAAAUAAGGUGAACCGGUCCAAGAAACGAUUUUGGAUGUCGAAGGGUUUGCUGCAGUUGAACUGGGAAUAUUCUGGGAAUGUUUGUUUGGCUCAGAUCGGCUCGGUUGGCGGUUAAGCGGCUCGGUUAGGGUACAACUUAGGAGGCUCGGCGCGACUCAAAUAUGAUGUGCGUGUGGCUUAGUAGUCUUCUUCCUCUGAGCGCGUCGGAUGCGCGUGGGCUACAGUGCUGGAUUUUCAGGAGGCGCAUGUGAGACACCCCUUGCUCCAAUGAAUCUAAUUUUUGUACCGAUAAGUUUGUAUAGAUGAACUCUACACCGUAGAAUGGUCAAAAUGUGUUUUGGACAAUUUUGAAAAUUCAGGUAUAUCCUAGAAACUCCUCUAUUUUCUGAUCAACGAGGCUCUGAUACUAAUUGUUGGUGGGAAAGACAAUUGGUGGUGGCUUUUAAAUACUUAGAAAAGAUAAAACACACUGUUUUUAUUUCAAAAUAACAAGAAGAUUACAAGCUCUCAAACUCGCCCACUCUUUCUCUCAUGUAUUUUCCACACAUUGCAAUGCUUUCUUGAUGCCUAUUUAUAGACAUGAACGGUAGGACAGAAAGGAAAAACAGAGAACAUGAAGAAUAUAUUACACUAGCUCAUCUUUUCAAGUGGAAAAAAUUAUUCAAGCACAACCUCCACCCUCUCCUCCCUCCCUUUGGUCAAUCAUGUGGGCAUUCCUUAAAUUAAAAAAAUAUAUAGACAUACAUGCUUUUAUUGCAUUGAUGGGAAAUAAAAUGGAAGAAGAAGACAAGAGUAUGUAUAUAAUUAUAUUUGUUUGAUGUUGUUGUUUAGAAUUUUUUUAAAUUUUUUUAAAAAAUAUAUUAAAAUAAUUUUUCUUUAAAAAUAUCACUCAAGAUUUCAAUAAUCAGUGAAGAUAUUAGAUUAAGCUUAAAUUAUUUAAAAAAGUUUAAUAGACUCGGUUUUAAAAUAUAUUGGUUUAUUGUAAUCAUCCAUGAUCAGAAAGCCUUCAAAUUUGGCACCAUUGAAUUAAAAAAAUUUCGAAGUUUAUGCUGCUGAGCUACUCCAAGCAACGCAAUCUUUGAGAAUGUAGCGCAACUUAUUGAAAUUUAAAAUUUCAACAAGCUGCGCUACUCCUAAGGACAACCACCAAUAGUGUAUUAUUUUUUUCACGCAUGCUACUUUGCAAAAAAAAAUGUUGUCACGUGUGCUAUUUUGUGAAUAACUCUAAGAAUAAUGAUCAACUUACGGGAAAAAAAAAACAAAAAAAUGAUUAGUGCAUGUAAUUUUCUAGUAAUUACACCUUAAAGUCUAGCAAUAUCUAGGUUUCUUCUUCUUUUUCGUUUUCUUAUAAGCGUCUGUCGUAGGUUUGGCACAUAACAUUAAAAAAAGUAAGCACAACUUUUUUUAAUGUUAUGUAUUGUAGACUGCAUGACUCUUUCACAAUAACGCACUCACAUUUCUCAUCACUGUGCAGAACGUGUUUAGGCUGUUGAAACUUUAGAUCAUAAUCGCUUGCCCUUUUAUCUUAAGCUGAUUUAAUACAUUUCUCCCAAUUUCAUUUGUAGCAUGGCAAGUUAAAAAAUCUAAUUAUCUUCGAUCCCCACUGAAACCCUUACCUGGAUGUGGAUCCUGAUUCAUACAUGACUCCAUUUCCAACUGUACGCAUUAUUUGCCCACAAAUAGUAAACUUUAAUUUCUAAUUGUCAUUGUUGUGAGUGUACUGAAGUUGAUGUGAAGGACUUAUUCAAACAUGAUACUAGAGGAAAUUAGUUCUUUACUUGAAGGCUGGUUGGAGUAUAUCCUUAUCAUUAGAUUGUUUUUUUUAAAAAAAAAAUAGUGAAGAAAGAUUAGCUCUGCUACUGCGUCACUAGCUAAAGAAAGUGCAUAUUAUUUGGGAUUUGCUCCUCUCAAAUCACAACUUAAUAUAAUUCAUCAUGUUGGAAACAUUCUAGCUUUUGAAUUCAUAUUAAUGUCUGGUGGACCCCCACGAUUAUUGUUUUGGUGUUGAUGAAAAGGUUUGGCCAUUGAAAUUAGGUUUGCCCCGACUGAUGUGGAGCUUGUGCUUUACUACUUGAAGAGGAAGAUAUGUGAGAAAGGUUUUGAGCUUGAUAUUAUUCGCGAUGUUGAUGUUUACAAGUGGGAUCCUGAGAGUUACCUGAGCUAUCCCCAUUGGAGAGCGACUGGCAAUGGUACUUCUUCAGUCCAGGGGAUAGGAGAUAUCACACUGGAGCAAGGUCAAAUAGGGCAACCCGACAGGGGUGGUGGAAAGCUACAGGGAGAGAUCGCAGUACUGUGUACAAUUCUCGAAAAGUUGGAGUUAAAAAGACCUUGUUUUCUAUAGAGGUCGUGCACCAAGAGGAGAGCGAACUGAUUGGAAGAUGCAGGAGUAUACUUUGUGUGAAGAAGAACUCAGGGGACGGGCAAAUGUGCAGGAGUUUUAUGCCCUUUACAAGCUUUGCAAAAAAGGUGAAAUGGAUUUCAUGGAAAUUGAUCUCGGUCCACAGCCUAAUUUCUCCGAGACGGUGUGACGUAGGACACAAAUCCCAGCUAAAUUAUUUAAAUUGUAAUAGUUAUUUAAUUGUUAAUUUUCUUUAGGAUUUUUUAGUUUUAUUUAAUUAGGCAUGUGGUUUCCCUAGGAAAUUAGUAAUAAUUCUAGAGUGUUUUUUUUUCAUAUUCGGUUUUUUUUGGACUUUCCAAAAUCACCAAUCAUCCUGCUGCUCUCCUUAGUGAACUUGUAUCACUUUCCCAAUGACAUGCUCGUUUUGGUCACCCAUCUUUAAAACUUGUCAAUUGAAUAAUGUCUCGGCAUCAUCUGCUAGUCACAACCGAGCUCUCUCCUGUGGUUUAUCAUGCAUACUAACUUGGUAAGAGUCAUUGUCUUCUGUUAUGAAUUGUUCAAUGGUACUGAGGGUAUAAGAUAAGUCUGACAUAAAUAAGGAAUGAGAGAGGUUUUUCAUGAGAGGUAGUUGUCUUUGGUAAGUUCAAUUUUGGAAAGAGUAGUGGUAGAGGAUUGUGGACGGGAGCAGAGGUUGUAGAAUUAAAGGAAGACAUUGGAAGAAGAUAAGACCAGUUUUGCUCUAAUACCAUAAAGAGUUUCAACGUUUUUGGAAAUUGCUUUGAUGUCUUUUGGAUGCAUGAAGUAUUAUUAUUUAUAGAUUAGUUUGCGACAUCAAUGAUCUGUACAUGGAAUACAUUUUGAAAUUUAAAUUAUGCGGCUGUGUACAUUAUCUUCGGUUUUAAAGGUCAUCUUCAACAUAUUUGAAUGUGUUGUCAUCUACAUGAUAUUCGACUAGUUUGGAAGUUGAUUGAGCAGAUUGUUUCUAUUGGAUGUGUGCUUGAUUUUUGGAUGCAGUUGUUGCUUUGCUUUCUGCAAAAUUGGUUGUUAAUCAAGUAGAUGAUUGUGACUUAAUUGAUGGUGCAAACCCUGGUAAAAAAAAACAAAUAUCGGUAACAUUACUGAGUAACAGUAAGAAGUCUGUAAAAGAAAUAAAAAGAGGGUUUGAUGUAUUAAGAAGUUUAAGAGUUAAAGUGUUCUUUUGAAGAAGGAACAAUUGGGCUUGGAGGGAAAUGUGGAGGAGAGCUUGAUUCAAUUUGUUUUGGAUUUUAAUUUUUUAUUCCGUAAAGGUAAGAAAACUCUCUUCCAUGAUGUUUCAUUGUGUUGUUUUUUAUGUUUGUUCUUGAAUUGAGAAGAAUUGGUAUUAUGUAAAGUGGUUCAAGACCUGUUUGGAAAUUUGAUUUAAAAAAAAAAAAUAAUUUUUUAUAUAUUUUUAAAUUGUUUUGAAGUGUUUAUAUCAAAAUUAUUUUUUAAAAAAUAAAAAUAAUUAUUUUUAUAUAUUUCUAAAAAAAAAUACUUUAAAAAAUAAUAACUACUAUAUUUUCAAUCACUCAUGGUAAAAGGUUUGAGAUGAGAUAUUGGUAAUGGGAGAAAAAUUGGUGUUUGGGAUUUGUAAAAAUCAAAGAUGGGCUGUUUGUGAUAAAAAUAUUAAAGUUUGAGAUUCUUAAAUUCAAUUCAAUAUGAUUUUUUUUUGUUUUUCGUUAAUUAGUUCCAGUUAAUAGGGUGGUACGUGGCUAAGUUUAUUUUUUUAUAAGAAAAAUAAUGGGAAUUUAUAAUAUUUAAUAUAAGAGUUCCAUAGUUAAUAGUUUGAAAAUUCAUUAAAAAAUACUUUUCAAUUGUGAUGUGUGUGGCCCAACCCCUGCUCUAGACAGGAAGGUGCCUCUGCUGUCCACUGCGCGUUCGAUACCCUUUCAUUUCUCUUUUUGUUUUUUCUCCACCGAAACUCCCAUCUUCUUUACAAUGUAAGAAAAAGAUCCGUAAGAGGUUGGAUUCUGUUUUGUUAUACAAGCACUAGUUUAUUAAACAUUAAAAAAAAAAACAUUAUUAUUAUUAUUAUUAUUAUUAGAAUUAAUAAAGAAAUAAAAGACCAUGAUAUUGUUUUACUAUAGAUAGAUCGAAGCCUAGAUCAUAUUUUUUUUUUUUCAAAACAUUGAUUUCAAUUUAAGACCGAUUAAAUUGGAUUGUAAUAGAUUUGAAGUUAGAAGCAGGUCUCCGGAAGAUAUUAGGACGAGUUUGAGGAUUUGUUUUUACUGGAAAUGAAGAAAAAAGGUGUUAGGAUGCACAUGGAUGGUGGCCCUUGAUUUUCUGACUAUCGAAGCGUUGUCGAGAAAACAUAGCACCACAUGUUCUUCCAAUAAAUGACGUGUCCUUUUCAACUUCUUGUUGUGGAUAUCGGAUUAAAAGUUACUUUUCAAUGGAAAAAAAAAAAGCGUGGGCACUGUCAACUUUUUUUAAGUUGAAGAAUUUUUUUUUUAUUGUGAAUAAAAAGAGUUGACGCAUGUUUUUAAUCAAAGCAAUCAGAAUUAUAUACAAUACAAAAAAUGUUAAAAUGCAAAUCAAAGAAUAAAUCUAGAAACUAGGUGAUAAAUACGGUUCAAAAUAUAUGAUUUCAUGUAGCCAAAAAAUUAACAAUUUAAGUUCUAUCAACAUAAAAUAAUUUCCUAGUAUGUUUAUCAGAAUGUUUAUUUUUUGAAGAACAAAAAGUUAUGAGAGUCAUAAAAAAAAUUAAUUAAAAAAAUAAUUAAUGGUUUUAUAAUUAUGCCAUGAAUGUAUAUUUUUUAUGUAAUCAUGCAGUAAUAAAAAAGUUGUGCGGAAAGCCAAAAAUCAAAAUUUAUUAUAGAGCCAACGGAAAUAAAGGUCGCGAAGAGGGUGAUGCCGCUGAUGGUUGGUUCUCUUCCUCCUUGUGACUUUUUGUGGACACGUUCGGCCUCGGACAUUGAGAUCGAGGCAGGUAAUUGCGUGGACUGGUGGAAGAAAAAUUGGGUUUUUCCUCUCGGAGUCUUCGUCUAUGCUAUCUUAUGGGUAGAAAGUGUCGGGGGAUGAGUGGCUGGGAUUCAUUCAUGAAUAGCGGCUUUAAGAAUUUUCAUUAUUGGACGGAUCGAGAACCUUUUUUAUGAGUUUGCAUUUGGUGUUCAAGCUAUGGUGGCUACAUUAUCCAAGAGGUUGGAUUCUGUUUUGUUAUACAAGCACUAGUAUAUUAAAAAUUAAAAAAAAAAUAGUAAUAAAAAAUAGAAUAAAAAUUAAAAAAUAAAUAAAUUAGAGUGUAACUAAGUUUUUUCAAUUGAAGGGUUAACUGAAAAGAAAAAUAACUUGAACAAAAACAAAAAUAAAAAAUAAUGAGGAUAAAAUUGAAAAAAAUAACACACCAUAAACUUGGAUUGAAUAGUGAGAUUAAAAGCCAAUAAAACUUUUAUAAAAGAGUUAAGGGAAAAAAAAAAAGAAAUCCAAAGAAUAUAGACCAAAUAAAAAAAGGAAUAUGUGAAAAUUCAAAAUCGAAGGAUUAAAUUGAAAAGAAAUAACACUUAUAUAAAAGGGCAAAAGGAAACAAAAAUAUAAAUUGAGGACCAAAUUAAAAACAAUAAAAUAAAAUAAAUUUGGAUUGAAGGAUGAAAUUGAAAAAAAAAGUAUCAUAAAAGAGUCAACUAAAAAAACUAGAAAUAAAAAAAAAAAACCAAAUUGAAAAGUAUAAUAUAUUAUAAAUUGGAAUUGAAGGAAUAAAUUAAAAAGAAAUAAAACUUUUAUUAAAGGCUCAAUGAUGAAAAUAAAAAAAUAAAAGAAGAAGGACCAAAACAAAAAUACAAAAAACAAAAAAACCAAUAUGCAAUUUUUGGGGGGCAAUAAAAAGAAAAGAUCUACUAACAACAAACCUAUAAUAAUUGAAUUGUUGACGAGAGGGAAAGAGGUGAUUGUAGAGCGGUUGUUGGGGCUGCUGGUAUGGGUGGUGGAUGUUGUGGUGGUUUGAUAUGGCUAUUUGGGUUGGUGUGAAGGAGUGGAGUUGUUGCAACGAUGACAGAGGGGCUAGUUCAUUGGUUAAGGUUUCUGACAAGGUGAGGGCGAUCAAGAAUUGAGGUUUUUGUAUUGAUAGAAAUGCAGAAAAAACUCCAAUCUUGAAAGCAAAAAAUGACAUCACUAGUAGGAAAGGAAGUGUUAUUGAAAGCUAUGGCGGCGGCAAUACUAAAUUGCAUGAUCUUGUGUAUCUUAUUCCUUACUAGUUUUUAAUUGGAAACUUAUAAAUCUAUGGAAAAUUGAAAGGCGCACCGGAGAAGUUGGAAAUAUCCGUUAAAAUCAAAGCUUACGACGACAUAAGUUUUAAAGAAUUUGAUUAUUUCAAUAAGGCCUUUCUAUAAAAGUGCUUAAAGAGAUUCGAAUCAAUAUCCCAAAAAGUUGGAUUGGGAAAGCGGUUUCAGACCGUUUGGAAAUUUGAUUUUUUUAAAAAAAUAAUAAUUUUUUUAUAUUUUUAAAUUGUUUUAGCAUACUUUUAUCAAAAUUAUUUUUUAAAAAAUUAUUAAAAAAAUUAUUUUAAUAUAUUUAAAAAAACACACUUUAAAAAAAUAACUACCAUUAUACAUCCAAGCACCCUUGUUAAAAGGUUUGAGAUGAGAUAUUGGGAAUGGGAGAAGAAGUGGUAUUUGGGAUCGGAGAGGAAUUAAAGUUGGGUUGUUUGUGAUAAAAAUAUUAAAGUUGGAGAUUCUAAACUCAAUUUAAUAUGAUUUUUUUUUUUGUUUUUCGUUAAUUAGUUCCAGUUCAUCGGGUGGUGGCUAAGUUUAUUUAAAAAGAAAAUCAAUGGGAAUUUAUAAUAUUUAAUGUAAGAGUUUUGUAGUUAUUAGUUUGAAAAUUCAUUAAAAAAUACUUUUCAACUGUGAUGUGUGUGGCCAAUGCGCGUUCGAUAUCCCUUUCAUUUCUCUUUUUGCUUUUUCUCCACCGAAACUCCAUCUUCUUUACAGUGUAAACUUACCAGUACGAGUUCUUGACCUCAAGGAACCGGAAAAAAAUUCGACGUCAUUGGGCUUGGCUAGAUCUUGUGCCUCUUUAGCCAACACUUACCACACGGUUUGUUUCGUCUAGAUUCGUGAAAUACUCGUAGAAAUUUGGUGUUUUCUGAUUUCUAAGUAGAAUUAUACAUGUUCCAGCUUGAAAUUGCUAAUUGGUAGAUUUAAUUGCCGAAUUUCUUGAUCUUACCUUCUGUUUCAUGUUUGACCACAGGAGCAGGCCUUACACAAAAUAGCGUGGAAAGCAAUUGCUGAACCAAGCGAGCUAGUUGAGGCCAGAAGGGAUCGGUACUAGUUUAUCGCUAUUGGGAUUUUCAUGGCUUCCAGCAGCAUGCAAGGAAUAACCUCAUCUUCAUCUCCUCCUCCUCCACUAUAUAUGCAUGAUGUGUUCCUUAGUUUUAGAGGCAAAGACACGCGGAACAACUUUACUAGUCAUCUAUACUCUAAUCUGAAACAGAGAGGCAUCGAUGUAUACAUGGAUGAUAGGGAGCUCGAGAGAGGAAAGACCAUCGAACCUGCUCUCUGGAAGGCCAUCGAAGAAUCAAGGUUUUCAGUCAUUAUAUUUUCAAGAGAUUACGCUUCUUCACCAUGGUGCUUGGAUGAACUUGUCAAGAUUGUUCAGUGCAUGAAAGAGAUGGGUCAAACUGUUCUGCCAGUUUUUUAUGAUGUGGAUCCCUCAGAGGUAACCGAGCGGAAACGGAAAUAUGAGGAAGCCUUCGGUGAGCAUGAACAAAAUUUCAAGGAAAACUUGGAGAAGGUCCGGAACUGGAAAGAUUGUCUCUCUACGGUGGCCAAUCUAUCUGGCUGGGACAUCCGGAAUAGGUAAAUCAUCUAUCUACUUAUUCUUAUUCUCAAAUCUGCCCCCUGUAUUGUUUCAUUGAUGAACAAGCAUGAUAGUAAAUGUGUAUUUUUUUCAUAUGCAUGAAUUUUUAUUUUUAUUUUUUUAUGAUAUUUUGAACUGAUGUGAUCAAGCAUUUCUAAUCUUUAUAUAAAACUUCUUUCUAUUCUUAGGUUUUUCUUUAUAUUUUGAAAAUAAAAUAAAAUAUUAAACAGAAAAAUUAAAAUGUAUAAAAAUGUUGAAAAACAAAUCUAGCAUGAACAAAUAAAAAGUUAGCUUAAAAAAUUAAAAAUGGUGAAGAAAUGACAACAAAUUCAUCAUAAGAAAUAAAAAAUUGGCCAAAGUUUUUGAAUAUGUUGGUUUUAGCUUUUCAAAAUAAAAUAAAGAGAUUUUCCAUCAUGAAUUAAAAAAUUCAAACUAUUUAUAAAUCAAAGAGACAAAUUUAUUUAUAAUUUUUUUUGUGAAUAUUUUUAUUUUUUUUUAUUUGGAAUUAAAAUUUUAUAGGUUUCUUUCUUUUACUAAUGCAUUGUAACAAUGAAUUUACUAAUUUUUCAUUCUAAAAAAAAAUAAACUACUUAUUAGGGAUAACAGGGUCUUUUAUAAGGGUCAAUAGUCAUUAUAAAAUUAAUAGGGGUAGUUAGGUAUUAUUUUUUUACGGUAUAAUUACUUAGUUGCCUUUGGGGCUCUUUUAAGAUUUUUCACUUUUCAGGGUGCAAUAAAAUAACUUUAUUUCCUUUAAAAUUAAAAAUGAAGUACCUUGCCUUCAAGGGCUUAUUCAUGCUUUUUUUUUUCUUUUUUUGUAAUAAAAAAAGAAGAAAAGUGGCUGGCUUGUUUGUAGAACACACAAGCGAGGAAGUUGUUCUGUUUUAUUUAAGCAACACGAGCAAUGGCUUUUGGCACCUAAAAAAAGCUUUCAUUGAUGUUUUCUGAUUCACCAUGACAUGAUCUAUCUCCCUGAGUGGCAUGUGUGGAGUAAUUCUUUCUGGUUUGUCACCAAAUGACCUUUUUCUUUUCUUUUCUUUUGUCUUUAUCCUUGAAUUCCGCACCCGACCUUCUAAACUUGUAUAGUAACCCUUCAAUUUGGUUUUUUUUUUUUCAUAUUUGGUCUUUUUUUUUAAUUGAUAUUUUUUUAUUUGAAUUAUUUUUAGAAUUGAAAUUUGUUGUUAAUUUUAUACUUUUUUAAUUUUUUAAUCUAUUAGAUUUGAUUCUCAUUCUUUUGAUUACUAUUUAUUUUAUGUAAGAUUAUUUUUAUUUUAUUUUUUUAACGAUUUCAUCCUUCAUUUUUUAUUGUUAUGUUUUUUUUACCUUGGCAAGUUAUAUAUAUAUAUAUAUAUUUCUGAUUUUAUACUUUAACAUUGAAUUAAGCUUUUUGGUUGAGUCUGGAUUUAGGAUUUCAUAUUUUAAAAAGCAACUGGAUGUUUUCAGUUUAUUCUUUCCUUUUCCUCUCUGUUCUUGAAGUUAUCUAUUAUCAGGGCCCUAUUUUUCUCAAAGGUUGGUGUAUUAAUUUCCGGCUAACAGCCAUACAUUUUCGAGCUACAAUAUGUUAAUGUUUAUUUUCCCAUUAUCACUAUCUGAUUUGAUUUCUGCACACUGCAUGAUUAAUGUUUUGCACCCUCCUAUGCAGGAAUGAAUCGGAAUCAAUUAAAAUAAUUGCUGAAUACAUAUCGUACAAACUAAGCGUCACUAUGCCAACAAUUAGCAAAAAAUUAGUUGGAAUAGAUUCUCGUGUAGAGGUAUUAAAUGGCUAUAUAGGUGAAGAAGGAGGCAAAGCAAUCUUCAUAGGGAUUUGUGGAAUGGGUGGCAUAGGUAAGACGACUGUUGCAAGGGUACUAUACGAUAGGAUUCGUUGGCAAUUUGAAGGCAACUGCUUCUUAGCAAAUGUCAGAGAAGUUUUUGCUGAGAAAGAUGGACCACGCCGUUUACAGGAACAACUUCUUUCUGAAAUCUUAAUGGAACGUGCUUCUAUAUGGGAUUCUUAUAGAGGGAUUGAGAUGAUAAAGCGGAGGUUACGACUUAAAAAGAUUCUUCAUAUCCUUGAUGAUGUAGAUGACAAAAAACAACUAGAAUUCUUUGCUGCGGAGCCUGGAUGGUUUGGUCCAGGGAGCAGAAUUAUCAUAACAAGCAGAGAUACAAAUGUGUUAACUGGAAAUGAUGAUACUAAAAUUUACGAGGCUGAAAAAUUGAAUGAUGAUGAUGCUCUUAUGUUAUUUAGCCAGAAAGCUUUCAAAAAUGACCAGCCUGAUGAAGAUUUCGUGGAACUAUCAAAGCAAGUUGUGGGUUAUGCUAAUGGCCUUCCACUUGCUAUUGAAGUUAUAGGUUCGUUUUUGUAUGCAAGAAGUAUCCCUGAAUGGAGAGGUGCAAUUAAUAGAAUGAAUGAGAUUCCUGACGGCAAAAUUAUUGAUGUGCUUCGCAUUAGUUUUGAUGGUCUCCAUGAAUCAGAUAAGAAAAUAUUUUUAGACAUUGCAUGUUUCCUGAUGGGGUUUAAAAUUGAUCGAAUAACAAGGAUACUUGAAAGCCGUGGAUUCCAUGCAGGUAUUGGAAUACCAGUUCUUAUUGAGAGAUCUCUCAUAAGUGUCUCUCGGGAUCAAGUCUGGAUGCAUAAUUUAUUACAGAUAAUGGGUAAGGAAAUUGUUCGUUGUGAAUCCCCUGAAGAGCCUGGAAGGCGCAGUAGAUUAUGGACAUACGAGGAUGUCUGCCUUGCACUGAUGGACAGCACAGUGAGUAGCUGAUAGAGAACAUUAUCCAUAAGAUUUCAUGAAGUUUAUUUUAAUUUAUGCUCCAUCUCUACUUUGUAUUUGUUUUUUACUUGUAUUCCCCUUUUGAUUGACAGGGAAAAGAAAAAAUAGAAGCCAUUUUCCUGGACAUGCCUGGAAUAAAAGAGGCACAAUGGAACAUGGAAGCCUUCUCUAAAAUGAGCAAACUAAGAUUGCUCAAAAUCAACAACGUGCAGCUUUCUGAAGGACCUGAAGAUCUUUCCAAUAAGCUACGAUUUCUUGAAUGGCAUUCUUACCCUUCAAAAUCAUUGCCAGCUGGUUUACAGGUGGAUGAGCUAGUUGAACUUCACAUGGCUAACAGUAGGAUUGAGCAAUUAUGGUAUGGGUGUAAGGUGAGAUCACCUAAUUUAAGGGUCUUUGUAUUUCUUUUUAUCGUUUUCCUAUAUAUUUAUGAUAGUAGCAUCCAUAUUUCUUCUCCCCUGCCUGAUUGCAGAGUGCAGUUAAUUUGAAAAUCAUCAAUCUCAGCAACUCACUAAACCUGAUCAAGACUCUAGAUUUUACAAGAAUUCCGAAUCUCGAGAACCUUAUUCUUGAAGGGUGUACAAGUUUGUCUGAGGUCCAUCCAUCACUUGCACGUCACAAGAAGCUUGAAUAUGUGACUCUUAUGGAUUGUGUAAGUAUUAGGAUUCUCCCUAGCAACCUUGAAAUGGAAUCACUUAAAGUUUGCAUUCUUGAUGGAUGCUCAAAACUUGAGAAGUUUCCAGAUAUAGUAGGAAACAUGAACAAAUUGACGGUGCUUCAUUUGGAUGAGACUGGUAUUACAAAACUAUCUUCAUCAAUUCAUCAUUUGAUUGGCUUAGAAGUAUUGAGCAUGAACAACUGCAAGAACCUUGAAAGCAUUCCGAGUAGCAUACGUUGUUUGAAAUCCCUUAAAAAACUUGAUCUGUCUGGCUGCUCUGAACUUCAAAAUAUACCACAGAAUUUGGGGAAAGUUGAAGGUUUGGAGGAGAUUGAUGUAAGUGGAACUUCAAUAAGACAACCGCCAGCAUCCAUUUUUCUUUUAAAGAGUCUUAAAGUAUUAUCUUUGGAUGGAUGCAAAAGAAUAGCUGUGAAUCCCACGGGUGACAGGUUGCCUUCUUUGUCGGGUCUUUGUUCUUUAGAAGUACUAGAUUUAUGCGCUUGCAAUCUAAGAGAAGGGGCACUUCCUGAAGAUAUUGGCUGCUUAUCGUCAUUAAAGUCUUUAGAUCUGAGCCAAAAUAACUUUGUUAGCCUGCCUGAAAGCAUAAAUCAGCUUUCUGGACUUGAAAUGCUUGUCUUGGAGGAUUGCAGGAUGCUUGAAUCAUUGCCUGAGGUUCCAUCAAAAGUUCAAACAGUAAAUUUGAAUGGUUGUAUACGCCUAAAAGAAAUUCCAGAUCCGAUAAAGCUAAGCAGUUCCAAAAGAUCAGAGUUCAUAUGUCUUAACUGCUGGGCAUUGUACGAGCAUAAUGGCCAAGACAGCUUUGGGUUGACGAUGCUUGAAAGAUACCUCAAGGUCUUCUCUUAAUCAUACGCCAACCUUUUUGUAUCUCUCUCCCUCUCCCUCUAUCUAUCUAACGUUUUGUUUCUUCAUGGUACAGGGUUUGCCUAAUCCAAGACCUGGAUUUGGUAUCGCUGUUCCAGGAAAUGAAAUUCCAGGCUGGUUUAACCAUCAAAGUAAGGGAUCUUCAAUUAGUGUGCAAGUGCCUAGUUGGAGCAUGGGGUUUGUUGCGUGUGUUGCAUUCAGUGCAAAUGGUGAAAGUCCUUCUCUUUUUUGUCAUUUCAAAGCCAAUGGAAGAGAGAAUUAUCCUUCGCCGAUGUGUAUUAGUUGUAAAGCCCUUCUCUUUUCAGAUCAUAUUUGGCUAUUCUAUCUAUCUUUUGAUCAUCUUAAAGAGCUUAAAGAAUGGAAGCAUGAAUCCUUUAGCAACAUUGAGUUGUCAUUUCGUUCUUGCCAGCCUGGAGUAAAGGUGAAGAAUUGUGGUGUCUGUUUGUUAUCUUCUGUAUGUAUUACACCACGACCAUCUUCUGCCCAUUUUAUUGUUACAAGCAAAGAAGCAGCUUCAUCAUAUAAAGCUUCUUUAGCUUUUUCUUCGUCGUACCAUCAAUGGAAGGCCAAUGUUUUCCCUGGCAUCGGAGUCGCAAAUCCAGCCCAGAGAUUCAUUGUCCCAGUCAUGAAGGAACCAGAGAAAGUAAUGGCAAUUAGAUCAAGACUCUUUGAGGCCAUUGAAGAAUCAGGGCUGUCAAUUAUUAUAUUUGCAAGAGAUUGUGCUUCUUUACCUUGGUGCUUUGAAGAACUUGUCAAGAUUGUCGGUUUCAUGGAUGAGAUGAGAUCGGACACUGUGUUUCCAGUUUCUUGUGAUGUUGAACAAUCAAAGAUAAAUGAUCAAACAGAGAGUUACACAAUUGUCUUUGAUAAGAUUGGAAAAAAUCUCAGGGAAAACAAGGAGAAGGUACAAAGAUGGAUGGAUAUUCUCAGUGAAGUUGAGAUUUCAUCUGGAUCGAAAAGGUAAUAAUUACUUCUUCUUAUUUGUGUGUGUUGCUCGACUUAUCAACCACUUCAAGUAAAUGAAACUAGGAAUGCUGAAAUAUCGACUUUCAGAACUUAAUGUUAACAAAUCUGUUUUUUUUUUUUGCAUGGGAAAAACAGUACACAAUGGGGUUACAAGUUUUUUUUUCAAGGUACAUUAUGAAUUUUAAAAAAAUUAAUAUUAAACUCAGUUGAGUUUAUGGUCUGAAUUAAAUUGACAUGUUGUACUGUGGAUGAUAUUGUUUACUUUAUUUUUUUUUAAGUUUGUUAAAAAUUCAAAGGGAGAAAAGUAUUGAACCGGUUGAGUGCAUAAUCCAGGUCACAAGUUUUUUUGAAUGGUUGAGUAUAAAUUUAAGAAAAAAAAAUUUCAACCCAGUUGAGGUUUUUUUAUAAAGAUUCAUUUUUUGAUGGUGUUGUGUAUUUUUAAUUUUUGAAUUUGUUUUUUUAAAGUUGAAUAUAAAUUUAAGUGAAAACAAUUAUUGAACCUCAUUGAAUUCAUGGUCCGGGUCACAUAUUUAAUUUUUUUAAGGUUUAAGGAAAAAAAUAUUGAACCCGGUUGACUUCAUGAACUGAGUUACGGGUCUUAAGAGUUAAGCCACAAUAACCGGACAAUUUUUUUUUCUAAUGUUGCUUUUUUUUACUGAUAUCUUUUUUUAUAUAUCUUUUUUAAGAUAAUUUUCAAUUUAUGUUUCAAUUAAUAUCCCUCAUCUGUGAUUUGUUUUGUUUAUUUAAUCUUUUUUUUAAUAUAAAUUAUUUUUUGAUGGUGUUGUAUGUAUUUGUUUUUAAAUGUUGAAUAUAAAUUUAAGAGAAAACAAUAUAGAGUCUGGUUGAGUUCAUGAUUUGGGUCACAUGUUUAACUUCUUUUUUUGUUAAAGGUUGAAUAUGAAUUUAAAGGGAAAUCAAUAUUGAAACAGGUUGAGUUCAUGCUCCGGAUCACGGAUUUAACGAGUUAAACCACAACAAUGAAACAAUGUUUAUUUUUCUGAUAUUGCUUUUUUUUACUGAUAUUUUUUAUAUAUCUUUUUUAAAAUAUUUUUUAAAUUUAUGUUUCAAUUAAUAUUCCUCAUCUGUCAUUAUUUUUUUGUUUAUUUAUUUAUUUUUGGAUAAAUAUUGUUUUUUAUGGUGUUGUUCGUAUUUAAUUUUUAAAAAACUUAUUAUGAUUCAUAAAUAAUUUUUUGAUCUUUUUGUAUAAAAGAACUUUAUUUUAAAAAAUAAAAAAAAUUAUUUUCAUCUAACAUAAUAUGUACAACAACCUUGCAUAAUAUUUUUUCUAUUUUUAUUUUAUUUAAUCAAUUUAAUACGUGUGUUUAUUUUUAAUAUCAUUUGAUUGAAUAAAAAAAUAAAUUUUAAAAAAUAAAUUCAAAAAAUAUAAUUGGGUAAAUGUUCCGUUUAUUAACACAUUUGAAUUUUUUAAUUUUAUUUUUUGUUAUUGUUAAUAUAUUUUUAUUAUUAGUAAUUCACAUAGUUAUCAAUGUACAUGUAUGUAUGAGCUUUUAAAUUUACAGUUUAAAUUUUUUUAUGUAUAAAAUUGCAUCGAAAAAACAUGCAUGCACAACUUUUUUGUAAGAGAAAAAAAUAUCUUGUCUGUAAAAGAGUGUCAUCUUAUAGUGGGCCAUAACAAAAUGCUACAAUUGGAUUGGCUUGACUUAGUAGUCCCAACAACACCUGACCUUUGCUUUUUCUUCUUUUUUUCCUUUUAUAUGUUUUUUUUUAAAUUAUAUUUAGAUUAACAUCCCUUCUUUUUUUUAUGUUAUUUAGAGAUCCUCUUUGAAAUGAUGGUUAAUUUUUAGUUAUGCAUUUAAUUUUUGAGAAAGUUUUUCUGAUUCAUUUAUAAUUUUUUUAAUUUUUUGUACAGAUGAACUUUAUUCUUGAAAAUAAAUUUUUUUAUUUUCAAAUAAUAUUUCUAAUAUGUGCAACCUUACAUAUUAUUUUUUUUCAUUUCAUUUUAUUCAAUCAAUUUGAUGUGUAUGUCUAUUUUUAUUAUCGUUUGAUUGAAUAAAAAACUUGUUUUAAUUAAUAAAUUUAGUAAAUAUAAUCGCGUAAAUAUCUCGUUUUUCAAAAUUAAAUAUCUUAAUCUACACUUGUUUAUCGAUUUUUCCACUUUUAUUUUUAGUUAUAGUUUAUAGUUGUUUUUUUUACUUAUUAACACACAUAAUUCUUGAUUUACUUAAUUAUAUUUAUGCAUAUUUUUUUCCACUUAAAAUUUUUUAAAUACAAAAACAUGUUGAUAAAAAUCUAUCAAUAAAUUUUUUAUUAAAAUUUUUUUUUAACACCCAACAAAACAUGUAACAUCGAUUCCAUGUGCAGUUUGACUAUACCUAAGCUGCAGCAGCUGCUCAAGCAGGAGGAGCAGCUGCUCGAUCAGCUGGGGCAGCUCAAGCAGCAGAUGCUUGAUCAGCAGGUGAUGCUGCAGUGGUGGAAGCAGCUCAAUAAGGAGCAACUGCUCGAGGAGGAGCAGCUGCUCAAGCAGCAGGAGCAGCAGGUGCAGCUCGAGCAGCAGGUGCUCGAUCAGCAGGUGCUCCAGCAGUGGCGGUGGCAGCUCGAUGAGCAGGUGCUCCGGCACCAGCUCGAUGAGCGGUGGCGGCAGAUGCUCCGGCACCAGCUCGAUGAGCGGCGGCUGCAGGUGCUCCGGCGGCGGCAGCAGGUGCUCUGGCUGCAGCAGGUGGGGUUGGGGCAGGUGCUCCAGCUGCAGCGGCAGCAGCUGUAGCAGGUGCAGCGGCGGCACCAGUUUGAUGAGCGGCGGCAGGUGCUCCAGCUGCAGUAGGUGCAGCGGCGGCAGGUGCAGCGGCAGCUUGGUAGUGUGUUAGACCGAGGCGCGUUGAGUCUGGCAUUGACCAGACCCAAUAGAUAAUUGAAUUUAACACCAUAAACACUCCCUAGUCAAAGGUUUGAGAUGGAAUAUUUGCAAUGGGAGAGGAAUUAGUGUUUGUGAUCGGAACAUCAAAGUUGGGUUGUUUGUGAGAGGAAUAUUGAAGUUUAAUUUAUAAUUAAUUUAAUGUCAAAGGAUGAAAUUAAAAAAAAUAUAAAUAAAAAAAUCCUAGGUCAACCCGCUAAAUUCGCAACACGAGUCAUAAAGCUAAAAUAAUUUUAUAAAAAAAAACAUCAACAAAUUAUAAAACUCAAUCUUUAAAAAAUAAAAUGUUGAAAGAUAAAAAAAAACAUGUAGAUUUUUUUUUAAAAAAUACCAUUGCAAAUUUUAACUUGGUAAGAUUUUAUGUUAAUAGUACUAUAUUAGAUGAGUCCAGCUCACCAUAAGCUACAUGGAUGAAUAUGAGUUAAUGGUGAGUCGAGCUUGUAUAAUAAUUUAUGGGUAACAAAAGUUGUGCCCAGUAUUUCUAUAAUACGACGAGGUUUAAUUUCUUUUCUUUUCAUGGUUAUCUCUCAGUGGAUAGCAGCAUCAAUCAUAAGAACUUCUAUAUUUAUAUUUAAUUUAAAUACUAAUUAAACGUGAUAAGAGUGGGAGUUAAAUAUAACGCUUCACAUCAAAUGCUCUUGAAAAAACCAAAAUCUACUUCUUUUCAUUCUGGUUGCAUUCGCUUUCACCCCUGACUAUGAACAGGAACCCCAAUUAAAUGAAAUGGAUUUCUUGGAAAUUGAUCUCCUUGGUCCACACUCCACAGCAGAUAUCCGUGGCCUGCAGGAACCCCAAUCAAAUGAAAUGGAUUUCCUGGAAAUUGAUCUCCUUGGUCCACAGCCUAUUCGGUUAAACCAAGUCGGCUACCACUUGCAGCACAAUUCAUCAAAAGACGAUGUGAAUUAUGAUUUGACGUCAAACCAGGUGGAUUAUCAGCUGCAGCCACAAUUAUUUGAUGCAUAGCAAAAUAAUUAUUCAGAAUCACAGUACCUUGGCAGUCCUUUCCAGCCAACUUGAUGUGUUGUGUGCUAAUCCGAUGAAAAUCAAGAUCCCAAAGAGGGUGAUGCAGCUGAUGGUUGGUUCUCUUCCUCCUUGUGAGUUUUUACAUAAUAAAAUAGCGGCCUUAAUUACGAGAGUUCUUCCAUUUUUACAUGAAAAAUGGCUGGGAUUUCCUUUCGUUAUUUAUUAAUCUCUAUCACGACCACAAAAUUACUAAACGCCGACCGAAUAUGAUACACAAGUGCACUAAUUUUUUUUGGUUUAUUAAAGAUUAUUGGAGUGCAUCUUCCUUGGAUAAUUGUAGACUUUAUUUUCCUAAUUAAUAAAAAAGAUUUUUAUCCAUUGUGGUUAUAUCAUAUUCUGGUAGCUUUAAUGCUUUAUAAAUAAAGUAUUGAUCAUAAGAACUCUAUCAACCUUACUUUUUCUUGUUGUCAAUUUCAAUGGCCAGUGAAUCUAACUACAACAUCCGAAGAACAUAUUGCUUUAGUCAUAAUCUGGUCAUAGAUGAUUUCCCCAUCACAAGCUAUAAGUGCCUCUAUAGAGAACCCUAAUCCCUUCUCCAUGCUUCUUGACAGCCUCUUAAAAAAGGUUCAAGCUUGGGACUAAUGGGUUUGUUUCCUCUGUGGUCUAAGGUUCGAGUCCUGUGGUUGCUCAUAUGAUGGCCACUGAAGGCUUACAUGGUCGUUAACUUCAGGGCCCGUAGGAUUAGUCGAGGUGUACGCAAACUGGCCCGGACACCCGCGCUAAUAAAAAAAAAAGGUUCAAGAUUAGUCAUUUCAAAUGAGAAAAAAAAAGAAGAAACAAUCAUAAAGAGCGAAUCUUGUGAAUAAAUUACCGUAUUUGGACGCAACGAAACCGAGAAAAAACUAAGGUAAAGUCUAGACAAGAGCGCGCGCAUAAACUAUUUAUUGAUGAGCUUGUUCGUAUCAACAUAAAUAAAUAUCAAAGUAAUCCAGGCAAACUUUUGCAGAUUACGAAGAAUCUAAGUCGACAAAAAAGCUUUCAAUCAAAGUGUAUAUAUAUUUGAUAUAGAUUCAGUUUAGUAAUAAUUGUUUUUUAAUAUUUUAUUUUUAUUUUUUUAAAAUUAAUUUUUAACAUCACAAGCAUAUAAAAACAAUAUAAAAGAUUGAAAAAUUACAGUAAACCAUAUAACUUUUUGAAAGAUUUUAUACACGAAACCCUUGCUUAAUGACCAUAUAACAAUAUAAAAUUAAUACAAUAUAAAAUUAAUACACUUGGACAGUACUUUUGCUACAGUUUUUUGGAUAGUUCAAACUCAUUUAAAGUAUUUUUAGUUGGAUGUUCAUAUAGGUGAAAACAGAAAGAUUACUGUUACCUGAAAAACAUGAAGUCGAGAUGAAGGUUUACAAGGUCAAAGACAGCGAUCAGACACUCAUAAAUGCAAUGAAUCAGCUUGUUUUGGACAUCCAUCAAUGCAAGAAAUGCCCGUUUUCAAGAACUCUAAGCAACUCCUGAAUCCAGAACAAAACCCUCAAAUAUCAGAUCUUUAUAUGUUUGAAUAUCUAAAAAGAAGAAAAAGCAAACAAAUUUUUUUCUAUUUUUUUAAAUUCAUCUUAAUCUUAUUUUUAUUUAUAUUUAGAUCAAUAUAUCUUCUCUCUUUUAUGUUAUUUAGAAAGCCUAUUUGAAAUGACAAUUAUUUUUUAAUUUUUUAGAAUGUUUUUCUGAUUAAUUUUUUUUUUAAUCUUUUGUAUAGAUGAACUUUAUUUUUUAAAAUAAAAAGAAAUUUAUUUUCAAAUAAUAUUUUUAAUAUAUGCAGCCUUGCAUACUAUUUUUUUUAUUCAAUCAAUUUAAUGUACAUGUCUAUUUUUAUUAUCGUUUGAUUAAAUAAAAAAAUUAUUUUAAUUAACAAAUUUAGCAAACUCAACCAUAUAAAUGUCAUGCAUGUCUUGUGAAAUUAAAUAUUUUGAUCUACACUUGUCUCUCGAUUUUUUCAGUUUUUAUUUUUACUCAUCGUUUAUGAUUUUUUUCACUUUUUAACACACAUAAUUCUCAGUGAGACCUUCAAAACAGAGAUGUUCAUAAUCUUCAUUUUUUAUUGCAUAUGUAAUUUCAGAGCAUUUCUCUCUAGAAUAUUAUUAUAUUGUUCUUUUUUUAAAAGAUACUUAUUUAAGCAUUAGAGAGUCCUCACCUUCACCAAAUAAGAUCUUUUGCUGGUACUAACCACAAACUAUCUUGUCCUACCAAACACCCAGUAUAAUCUAUCAGUCAUAUUGAGUAGGGAUAAUGAAUGAGAUUGUUAAGAUCAUUUAAUUAACUAAUUAUUUAACCUGGAAGUCUAUUUCUAAACUACUUGAAUUUUUUUGGACUUCAUCAUAAAACAUGUUCAUAGCAAAAAAAAAAAAAAAAACCCUGAUUCAGCAAAGCAAGUUAUAAGGGGUCUAUAUUUGCUUUCAUUAACUAAAAUAGCAAGAGCAACACAAUCCAUAUAUACAGAGUGUGUUCAUCCAAAUCAGUUGGAAAUUGAUGAUCCAAAUAACAGGAAGCAUUACAAACAACGCCCUGCAUGCCAUAGAGAUGAACAUUUUUUUUUCUAACCACCUGUAAAUCAAAGUGCACUAGGCUGACCAAUAAGAAACUGGGAACAACACGCAACCGCUAUUGAAUCCAAGCUCGUCUUUCCUCCUCUCCUUUUUCUUGGGUCAAAAAUCAUCACUACCUCUCCUUUUAAUCCCUGUUAAAAAAACCAAAACAACCUUCAAAAACAACCUUAUUUUCCAACAAACCAUAGACAAAACCUGCAGUGUUAAAUUUGAAGUCAAUUGUUUGGAAAGUUGUCGAGCAUCAAGAGCAGUAGAGCAACUACAAUGGAAGAGGUCAGUGGAAAGAGAAAACCAAAAAACUAUUAUUUUAGCUAUUAUUUUCAAUUUUAACAACUCUUAUGAUAUAUUUGAAUAGCUAAAAUACAUUUUCUUCUACUAAAAUAUUAUUUUUACAUAUUUACAUAUAAAAGCCAAAAACAAGGAGAAAGUAUAUACACCCUUUAGCCAACAUCUCUUUAUCUAUGGUUGGCUUUUGUUUCUCUCCUUAAAAACAGAACAAGAAGAAGAAAAGAAGCUUGCAAACCUCAAAACCUAAAAUUUUUAACAUUAUUAUAUAAAAUUGAAAAUUAAAAAUAUAAAUAUAAAUAAUUUUGAUUUUAAAAGUUUAAAAUUUAAACUUUAAAUUAUAUCUUUAAACUUUCAUAUUACUUCAUUAAUUUUAUAAAUUACUCAUAUUAAUUGUAUAAUUAAUAACAUGAUUGUAUUAUAUAAAAAAUAAUUAAACUAGUUAUAUAAUUAUAUUAAAAUAAGUUUAGUAUAAAAUAUAUUAAAAUAUAAUUAGCUUUUUUAAAUAGCUUUUUACCAUUGGAAUUGCACAUAAAAAAAGCUAUAUUUACAUCCAUUUUUCAAUUUAAUUUUUAACUUUUAAAAAUAGCAUGUCUUAUUGAAGUUGCUCUUAUGCAGAAUUACACGGGAGAGGAAGACAAAAGAAGUCCAAAAAUAUUUACUUUUUAAACAUAGAUGCUUGACUUGAGAAUUCAUUACAAAACAUAAAUCAACUCAAUUGUGAUGUGUGUGGCCCAACCCCUGCUCUACUGCACAAUGCGCGUUCGAUAUCCCUUUCAUUUCUUUCUCUACUUUUUCUCCACUGGAAGUCCAUCUUCUUUACAGUGUAAGAUCCGUAAGAAAAUCAUUGGAAACUUACCAAUACGAGUUCUUGACCUAAAGGAACCGGAAAAAAUUCGAAGUCAUUGGAAUAAAAAGAAAGUAGUGAGGGCUUUGGAAGUAUGUUACUAAGAUACCAGAAGAAGAAAAAAUAUUGAGCCUGGCUGGAUGUUGUGCCUCUUUAGCCAACACUUACCACACGGUUUGUUUCGUCUAGAUUCGUGUAAUACUUGUAGAAAUGUGGUGUUUUCUGAUUUAUAAGUAGAAUUUUACAUGUUCCAGCUUGAAAUUGCUAUUUGGUAGAUUUAAUUGCCAUAUUUCUUGAUCUUACCUUCUGUUUCGUGUUUGAUCACAAGAGCAGGCCUUACACAAAAUAGCGUGGAAAGCAAUUUCUGAACCAAGCUAGCUAGUUGAGGCUAGAAGGAUCGGUACUAAUUUAUCGCUAUAGGGAUUUUCAUGGCUUCCACCAGCGUGCAAGGAAUGACCUCAUCUUCAUCUUCUCCUCCUCCACUAUAUAUGCAUGAUGUGUUCCUUAGUUUUAGAGGCAAAGAAACCCGGAACAACUUUACUAGUCAUCUAUAUUCUAAUCUGAAACAGAGAGGCAUCGAUGUAUACAUGGAUGAUAGGGAGCUCGAGAGAGGAAAGGCCAUCGAACCUGCUCUCUGGAAGGCCAUCGAAGAAUCAAGGAUUUCAGUCGUUAUAUUUUCUAGAGAUUACGCUUCUUCACCAUGGUGCCUGGAUGAACUUGUCAAGAUUGUUCAGUGCAUGAAAGAGAUGGGGCACACUGUUCUGCCAGUUUUUUAUGAUGUGGAUCCCUCAGAUGUAGCCGAGCGGAAACGGAAAUAUGAGAAAGCCUUCGUUGAGCAUGAACAAAAUUUCAAGGAAAAUUUGGAGAAGGUCCGUGUUGGGUAAUUCCAGAAAUCAAACACACAUAAAUUUACGUGGUUCGGCAACUUGCCUACUCCACGGAACUACUGGUUUGUAUUAAUCAAUCAAAGAAACAAUACAAACAAGGAGGAGGAGAACACUCUUCUCAACUCAACUCUACUCACUCAAGCUCUCUCUACUGCUCUCUGUUCUGCCGCACGCCCUCAGCUCUUCAAUAUGUCUAUUUAUAGACUAAGCUGGGAACAAGAGAUUAUGGCCACCAUGAACUUCCACUUUGUGCUAAGUGGGAUGAGUUGUUCCCACCAUGUGCUUCCACUUUAUGCUAAGUGGGAGAUGAGUUGUUCCCACUAGCAUAAAGUGGAGGUGGGGCAUUGUUUGUCUCCAUUAUUCUAACAAUCUCCCACUUGGAGACAAACAAUGAAAUUAUCUUUUAUCCUUGAAGACUAACUGAAGUUUUACACAACUUCAGUUUAUCAAGUGUAACUCCUUUGGUUAACAUGUCAGCUGGAUUCUUGCUUCCACAGACCUUUUCUAGCAUCAGUUGUUCAUCGUCUAGCAAUUGUCGGAUGAAGUGAUAUUUGAUCUGAAUAUGCUUAGUCCUGGAGUGAAAUGCUGGAUUCUUGACAAGGAAGAUUGCACUCUGACUGUCGCUAUACAGAGUUCCCUUUCCAUUCAUCUUGCCCAAUUCUUUUAGGAAACUCUGUAGCCAUACUAUCUCCUUUGCAGAUUCUGAAACUGCAACAUAUUCAGCUUCUGUUGUUGAAAGAGCGACGAUCUUUUGCAAGGUAGAACUCUAGGAAACAACAAUACCUCCUAGAGUAUAUACAUAUCUUGUAGUUCUCUUUCUGCUAUCAACAUCUCCUGCUAGAUCAGCGUCUACAAAACCUUCAAGUUUCAAACCACCAGCUAUGAAACUGAGACAAGUUUUCGAGGAACCUUUUAAGUAUCUCAUGAUCCAUUUUACCGCCUCCCAAUGCUGCUUUCCAGGAUUGCUCAUAUAUCGGCUUACAACUCCCACUGCAUGGCCAAUGUCUGGUCUGGUACAGACCAUAGCAUACAUCAAAGAGCCAAUAGCUGAGGCGUAUGGAAUCUUAUCCAUAUGUUCACAUUCUAGCUCAGUUUUUGGUGACUGGUCUUUGCUGAGCUUGAAAUGAUUCCCCAGAGGUAUACUUACUAGUUUAGCAUUAUCCAUACUAAACCUGCUGAGAACCUUCUUGACAUACUCUGUUUGUGAAAGCUUUAGUAUGCCUUUGUCUUUAUCUCUGAUGAUUCUCAUGCCAAGUAUUUGUUUAGCAGCUCCCAGAUCCUUCAUUUCAAACUGUUUUGACAAUUGUUGUUUCAGCUUGUCAAUCUCCUCAAUGCUGGAUCCUGCAAUCAACAUAUCAUCUACAUACAUUAGUAGAAUGAUGUAGGAGUUGUCAAAAUAUUUGACAUAGCAACAAUGAUCAGCUUGACAUCUUGUGUACCCCGAACUGCACAUGAAGUUGUCAAACUUCUUGUACCACUGUCUUGGAGCUUGCUUCAAACCGUAUAGGCUUUUCUUUAGCUUGCAGACUUGGUUCUCCUUUCCUUGUAUUGCAAACCCCUCUGGUUGUUGCAUGUAAAUGUCUUCCUCCAAGUCACCAUGAAGAAAUGCUGUUUUUACAUCUAAUUGUUCAAGAUGUAAAUUUUCUGCAGCUACUAUCCCCAAAACAACUCUGAUUGUUAUGUGCUUCACAACUGGAGAAAAUAUCUCAGAGUAGUCAAUCCUUUUCUUCUGUUGAAACCCUUUUAUAACAAGUCUUGCCUUGAACCGUUUGCUUCCGUCAUGCUCAGUCUUUCCUCUGUAAACACACUUGUUUUGCAAAGCCUUCUUUCCUUCAGGUAGUGUGGUUAGAUCCCAAGUCUUGUUCUUCAACAACGAAUCCAUCUCAUCCUUCAUGGCUAACUCCCACUUGCUUGAGUUUCCAUCUUGUAAAGAUUCUUCAUAAGUUUGCGAUUCACCACCAUCUGUCAGCAAAAUAUAAUUCAGUAGAAGUGUGAAUCGUUGUGGGGGCUUCACAGUCCUUGAAGACCUGCGAACAUAAACAAUGGGUUCACUUGGCUCCGCAUCUUCCUGUGUAGUAGUGGGUACAGAUGUGCUUGAAUCUUCUUGCAAAGGCUCUUGAUUUUUGUUCUGCUCAGUAACAUCAGGAAGCCCUUCUAAUCUUAUGAAUUUAGAUUUUUGUGGACUUGUAUCUGAAUCAGCCAUAUCUGUUUCUACACUUGAUCUGUCUUUGUACAAAACUUUAUCAUUUAAGAUCACGUUCCUGCUUCUGAUAAUCUUUCUAUUCUGAUCAUCCAAGAACCGAAACCCAAAUUCUUCAUCUCCAUAGCCAAUGAAGAAACAUUUCUUGGAUUUGGCAUCUAGCUUGUUGCGAGCAUUAAAAUCUAUGUGAACAUAGGAAACACACCCAAAGACCUUGAGAUGAGAGAGUUUUACCUCUUUUCCUCUCCAUACAUCCUCAGGCAAUCUGAAUUCCAAAGGAACUGAUGGACCACGGUUGAUUAAGUAAACUGCAGUAUGAACUGCAUCAGCCCAGAAUGUUUGAGGUAACCCUGAAUGCAACCUCAUGCUUCUGGCUCGUUCAUUGAUGGUCCUGUUCAUCCAUUCAGCAAUGCCAUUCUGUUGUGGUGUGUCUGGAACGGUCUUUUCCAUUCUGAUACCAUUGACAGCGCAAUAUUCUUUAAAACCUCCAUCAAUGUAUUCUCCUCCAUUAUCAGAUCUUAAGCAUUUCAACUUCAGACCUGAUUCAGUCUCAACCAUAGCCUUCCAUUUCUUGAAUGUUUCAAACACAUCAGAUUUAUUUUUUAGAAAGUAGACCCAUACCUUCCUGCUGAAAUCGUCAAUAAAGGUCACAUAAUACCGAGAACCUCCAAGAGAUGCCACUGGAGAAGGUCCCCAUAAAUCUGUGUGUACUAGCUCUAGCUUUCUUGGUCUUAAGGUCUUGCCAACCUUUAAGAAACUAAGCUUCUUUUGUUUUCCAAGAAUGCAACUUUCACAAAUGUCUAGAUCAAUAUUUUUUAACUCUGGCAACUUUCCCUUCGACUGAAGUAUCUUCAUCCCCUUUUGACUCAUAUGGCCGAGUCUACAGUGCCAUAGAUGUGCCUGAUUUUCUGGUUUAGUAGAGGCAAUAAUGUCUGCAAAUCUUGUGGUCAUAUAUAAGGUGCCGAUUUUCUUUCCACGAGCCAAAACCAUUGCUCCCUUCGAUACAUUCCACAUACCUCCAGAAAAAAGGAUUGAAUGACCACUAUCGUCAAGUUGUCCGAUGAAGAUCAACUUCUUCUUUAAUCCAGGAACAUGCCUUACAUUUUGCAAGUUCCAUAUAGAUCCAUUCAUUGUCUUGAUUUGCACAUCUCCUAUACACACAAUAUCCAUUGGUUGUCCAUCGGCCAGAUAGAUUACACCAUGAUCUCCAGCAACAUAGUUUUGCAUCAUUUCAUGGUGUGGUGUACAGUGGAAUGAAGCACCAGAAUCAAGAAUCCAAUCAUCAAUUGAACUUUGUACAGCAAGAAUCAAAGCAUCUUAUACCUCAUCUGUGGUAGCGUUUGCAAAGUCAGCUUCAGGUUUUUUCAGUUUUGUGCAACUCCUCAUGAAAUGACCAGGUUUGCCACAAUUCCAACAUUCAACCUGCUUUCUGGGUCCAAACUUGCUUUUACUUCUGUAUCUGGAUUUUGAUUUGCCUCUGGAUAAGCCUCUAUCCUGUCUCCUCCCUCGAGUGUUGAUGUUGAGAGCUAGCCUGAACCUGAACUUUCAUCUGAGUCUUUCCUUCUCACUUCUUCGGCCAAAAUCAGGUCUCGGAUGUCAUCAUAUUUCAGUUUGGAUUUUCCAGCUGAGUUACUCACGGCUGUUCUCAUACCUUCCCAACUGCUUGGAAGUGAAGCUAGCAAAAUGAGUGCACGAAUCUCAUCAUCAAACUCAAUCUCAAUAGAUGACAAUUGAUUUGUGAUGGUAUUGAAGUUGUUGAGAUGUUGUGUAACAGAGGUGCCUUCUAUCAUCUUUAAGUUGAACAACUUUUUCAUCAGGUGCACUUUAUUAUUUGCUGAUGGCUUCUCAUACAUCCCAGACAAGGCUUCCAUUAAUCUUGCAAUGGAUCUUUCUUUUGUAACGUUGUGAGCAACUCUUCUUGAUAAGGAUAGCCGGAUAAUGCCCAAAACUUAUCUAUCAAGAAGUAGCCAUUCUUCUUCUUGCAUAUUCUCUGGUUUGCUCCCCAACAAAGGAAGAUGAAGUUUCUUCCCAUAUAGAUAGUCUUCGAUUUGCAUUUUCCAAUAUCCAAAAUCUGUCCCAUCAAAUUUUUCAAUUCCAGCAGCCUUUAUUUCAUCUACCAUUUUUAAUAAUUUUAAAUUUGAAUCUGCUGAAUCUGAUCUUACGGAUGUGUCCGGAAUGGCCAAAAAUGUUGGAAACAACUCUGAAAUCACCCAGAUCGGACUUUGAUGGCUCAGAUCUUAUCAAUCAAACUUUUGGAUCAAUGACGAUGCAGAUGAAGCCGCGUGUCAGAUGAAAUAGUGUCUGCGGCGCACCGGAUCAAACCUCAACAUGAUGAUGUGGCAUAGAUGACGUGUCAGACACAUAAGCAAACUGGGCCCACCAUAGAUGACAUGUCUCAGCCAUGUGGGUUUAUUGCUGACGUGGCAUUAGCUGACGUGGAUGAUGACUGGUCCAAUGACAUGUCUGCUGACUGUGCGGGAUUGCUGAUGUGUCUACUGACUGGCUGAUGACGUGGCGGGUCAACCUGGUUCGGUUGCAGGAAUUCUAGCGAAGAAGGAGCGUGUGGUGCGUGUGGCGCGUGGGCAAUCCUGACGUAGGCGCGUGUUGGCGCGUUAGGGCAUGCAGAACAUUGGUUCUUCGCUGGGUUUUCACCAGUGGAUUUGUCUUGUCUUCCCCUACACGAUGGUAUGUUUAAAAACACAUUUUGAGAACUUUUAUUUCUGGGUUUGGAUCAAACACCCUUUUUUUUCAAGAACAAGCUCUGAUACCAGUUGUUGGGUAAUUCCAAAAAUUAAACACACACACAAAUUUACGUGGUUCGGCAACUUGCCUACUCCACGGAGCUACUGGUUUGUAUUAAUCAAUUAAAGAAACAAUACAAACAAGAAGGAGGAGAAAACUCUUCUCAACUCAACUCUACUCACUCAAGCUCUCUCUACUGCUCUCUGUUCUGCCGCACGCCCUCAGCUCUUCAAUGUGUCUAUUUAUAGACUAAGCUGGGAACAAGAGAUCAUGGCCACCAUGAACUUCCACUUUGUGCUAAGUGGGAUGAGUUGUUCCCACCAUAUGCUUCCACUUUAUGCUAAGUGGAGAUGAGUUGUUCCCAUUAGCAUAAAGUGGAGGUGGAGCAUUGUUUGUCUCCAUUAUUCUAACAGUCCGGAACUGGAAAGAUUGUCUCUGUACAGUGGCCAAUCUAUCAGGCUGGGACGUGCGGCAUAGGUAAAUCAUCCAUCCACUUUUAUUCUCAAAUCCACCCUGUAUGGUUUCAAUGAUGAACAUAGCUUCUUUCUUUUAAUGUUUUUCAAUUGAAACAUGUGAUUAAAUAUCAAAAUAAUCACAAUUAAACAAGUAUAUCAAAACUAAUUCUUGAAUAAAUAAUUGUUAGUAGAUAAUUUUGAUCCAUUAAAUAGCUAUUCCUAGCUUUUGUUCUUGUGUGCAUGAUUCUUUAGUAACUGUGUGAUUUCUAUAGGCAAUAAGAUAGCUAUUGUAAGGAUCAUUCUUAGCAUCAAUACAAUCCUAGUUCCGUUUUCAGUUUAUUCUUUCCUUCUUUCCUUUUCCUCUCUGUUCUUGAAGCUAUCUAUUGUCAAGCCCUAUCUUUCUCAAAGAUUGAUUUAUUAAAGCCAUACAUUUUCGAGCUAAUAUUUAUUUUCCCAUUAUUACUAUCUGAUUUGAUUUGCACACAGCAUGAUUAAUGUUUUCCACCACCAUAUGCAGGAAUGAGUCGGAAUCAAUUAAAAUAAUUGCUGAAUACAUAUCGUACAAACUAAGUGUCACUCUGCCAACAAUUAGCAAAAAAUUAGUUGGAAUAGAUUCUCUUCUAGAGGUAUUAAAUGGCUAUAUAGGUGAAGAAGUAGGCAAAGCAAUCUUCAUAGGGAUAUGUGGAAUGGGUGGCAUAGGUAAGACGACUGUUGCAAGGGUAGUAUAUGAUAGGAUUCGUUAGCAAUUUGAAGGCAGCUGCUUCUUAGAAAAUGUCAGAGAAGAUUUUGCUAAGAAAGAUGGACCACGUCGUUUGCAGGAACAACUUCUUUCUGAAAUCUUAAUGGAACGUGCUUCUGUAUGGGAUUCUUAUAGAGGGAUUGAGAUGAUAAAGAGGAGGUCACGACUUAAAAAGAUUCUUCUUCUCCUUGAUGAUGUAGAUGACAAAGAACAGCUAAAAUUCUUGGCUGANNNNNNNNNNNNNNNNNNNNNNNNNNNNNNNNNNNNNNNNNNNNNNNNNNNNNNNNNNNNNNNNNNNNNNNNNNNNNNNNNNNNNNNNNNNNNNNNNNNNAGGGAGCAGAAUUAUGAUAACAAGCAGAGAUAAACAAGUGUUGACUAGAAAUGGUGUUGCUAGAAUUUACGAGGCUGAGAAAUUGAAUGAUGAUGAUGCUCUUACGUUGUUUAGCCAGAAAUAGGUUUUUCCAGCUACUAAUUCUAUAAAUAUAAUGAAAACAGAAAUGAGAAACUCGUCAGUUUUUCUAUUGAUGUAGAACGAGGAAGAAGACGAGGGAGAGAAUAGAUGAAGAAUAGAAAGGUGACGUAUAAAGGAAUUGGGGGGGGGGGGCUUUUAAAUGGAUAUGGGUAAUAUUAUUUAUAUUAAUAAAGUAAUAUAAAAAAAGAGGAUAAAGAGUUACAUCCUAAUAAUAAAAAUCAAAUAUCAUAACUCUUCAUUCUUAUAAAUAAAUAUGUCUGUUAUACAAUAAUAAACACUAAGAAAAAAUAUUGAAAAGAAAAAUGGAUUCUCAAAAAAAAAAAUCUAUUUUAAUUUUCAGAAGAAUUGUUAAAUAAAGUAGGCUUAUUGAGUAAUGUGAUGUGAUAGUAAUUAUUUUUAAAUUUUUUUAUUUGAAAAUACAUUUAAAAAAUAUUUUUAAAAUGUAAAAACAAUAGUAUUAAUUGUUAAAUUAUGUGCAGACAUUAUAUAUAUAUAUAUAUAUAUAUAUAUAUAUAUAUAUAUAUUAUUGCUUAUGUGUAUUUAUUGUUGUGCAAUUCUUUGCUCCUCUGUCUGUCUUGUUGAAACAAACUAAAAAGAAAAAUAAUGUGCCAGUUAGAAAUUGAACGUUGAACACCCACUUGGUGAGAUUGUCUGAAACUUAAAUAGUAAAAAUGUGAUGGCCUCAUUCACCACUGGGCUGUUGCUCAAGUUUUGUCAUGCAUACAAUAUAAAUAAUAAUCAAACCUAAGACCUUAAGAAGGAAGAGAUUGCUGGCUGCGUACUGCAUUUUAGGGGUGUUCAAAAAAACCGAUUAACCGAAAAAACCGAAGAAAAAUUAACCGAAAAAACCGAACCGAGAUAAAAAACCAAUUAAACCGAUUUUUAAAAUCAUAAAUUCUAAUAGGUCCGGUUCGGUUUCGGUUUUAAAACUGAAACCAACAAACCGAACCAGACCAACCAAAAACCCAAAGCUAUACAAAUUAAGAGGGGUAUAAAUAGUUAAAUACUGAAACCUAACCCUAAAAGCCGUCGCUUGACCCCUGAGAAUAUUUAUGUCAAUCUUCCUUUCCCUUUCAAAUUUCAAUUGCUCUGCCUCCUCCAUCUCUAAAGUGAUUCUCAUCUCUUCAUCUACGUUUAUCUCCAUCUCAAAAGUGAGCCAAACACAAACUCAUCUCCUUAACUUCUCUUCUCUUUACUUUUGCACAAUCCUUCUUUAUUUCUGCUUAAGUUGUUGCAGUUACAGUAGAAGGAGAUGGAUCCUGUAGAGAAAAGAUAACAAGGUAAUUUUUUACCCAGUACUUGGUGUUUGCCCAGGGAUCCAAGGUAUAUCAACAGGAAACAAUGAUUAAUGACCGAAGUUGAAUUUAUAGCUUUUGUUAUUUACUGCAACAAAGACGGAUCUAUUACAAAAUCCUCUGAAUGGUUAGCUAAACUGCAUUGUUCCUCGCUUGUCAGCUCAAGAUUGUAAUAACUGGAAAUAUAAAAUUCCAAACAAGGAAAAAUUAGUGUUUGAUCUGUGAAGGGAUUCGGUUUUCUGGUUUUUUGCCAAAAAAACCAGAUUUAACCGAACCGAACCGGUUCGGGUGAUAUUUCAUAAAAUUAAUAUAACUCGGUUCGGUUGGUUUUUUUAGUCUAAACCAAACUGAACCGAACCGUGAACACCCCUACUGCAUUUAGUUGUGUAGUGGAUGUAUACAUUAAUAAUAUAUUUAGAAACAAAGGGUAUAAUUCUGCGUUGGAGAUUUAUAUUAAUGAUUUGGGCUAAUUGUUGUGCAUUUUAUUUUCAUGUGCAAUUCUAUAUUAAUGAUAUGUGCAUUGAUUAGUUAUGAUAAAUUAAUUUAUAUAUGUUAUGACUACAAAUUUAUUAUUCACAUAUGUUUAUAUAUAUGUAUACAUGUUUUCCAAACACAGUGUAAUUCCAUGUUUAACCUAGUAGAAUUGUGAAUUUAUUGAAUUCUUAAAAUAUAUGUUAUUUUAAAUAUAUGAUCCUUACGUUAUUAAUUAUGAUAUUAAUAAUAUGAUUAUGAAAAUAGUGAGCUUUCGAUUUUUGAUUUUAAAUAUGAUAUCAAAUCAUUGUUGGCAUAAUUAAUUGAUAUUAAGGAUAUGUAUAUAUGUUUUAGUCAUCAAUUAAAUGUGAAUAUGUGACUAAUAAAAUAUUUUUUUAUGUGAAAAAAAUAAGAAAUGACUAUUGCUGCCAAGAAUAUUGUGGCCGAGCUUAAUAUGAUCUUCUUAAGCCAACAAACCUAAAAUUAAUAUAUUCAUUGCUGUUGCACUUUAGGUCGUGGCGAAGAGACUUGUUUCUUUCUUCUGCAUCCGGGUUCGAUCUUCUCUGUGCAUGCCUGUAACCCCCGCGGUGUCUUACAUGUUCACUGGGCUUGCAGGAUAUUCAGUAGGUCCGAGGAUUAGUUGUGGUGCGCGUAAGCGUAAGCAUCAAAGUGAAUCUCAAUAUAAGCAAGGUAAAGAGAAAUCCAUGGAAAAGGAAAACAUUCUUUUAAGAAGAAAAGGAACAAUCACCAAGAGGUUCCUCUGGUCCACAAAGGGAUUUGAGUUUUGGACAUCUGCUGAUCUCAAGUUGCUUUAACUGGGGGAAAAUAUUUAGUGGGAAGAACUCAGGGGACAACAAGUAAUGCCAAUUUUUUUAAAAGUAGUGCAAGCAUAACCCCACUCUUCAAUUUCCUGACAUAUAAAAUUGAUGAUGGCAUGGAAUGAAUCGACUGUGAGACUUUGCGAGUCAGAAAACAAUUUCUCUAACUGCAACUUAUGAAAAUCAUUAGCCAACAUUAUUUUAUUAAUGCGUGCAGGAGACCAUCCAAAAGGUGGACCCAUAAGCUUACAUUUUGCAAUCUCAAGCUCCACUAAAGAAGGAAGGUCGCUGGGCAGUGUUGUUAGGCUCGAACACUUUUUUAUGCAAAGCACUUGAAGGCUUGGGAAAGCUCUGCCUUUAGAUUUCCAUUCACGCACUUACCAAAAAAAAAAGAUUUCCAUUCACGCCAUUGCAACAUCCUCUCAAAAGUUAGGCUUUCAAGGGAUUGGGAUGGGUUUCCUACGGUCGUGGGACUUCCAUAGAACUCAUAACCAACAGACUUUAAAUUAUAGAAGUCUUCAAUCAAGAGCCUUUUUAGAGUUUCUAACUGACCAAGAGAUGGUAAAGAAACACAUUAUUUACAUCCACUAAGCCUCAGAUCGACCAUAUUUUUGAAAGAAGUGUGUCCUAUCCAUCCUGGAAGUUUUUUACCUCUUUAACAAAUUAUAGAAAGAGUUUCCACUUUUGCACUAAGCCACAAUGCUUCAAGUACAUCUUCUUCUGUUAAAGAAUCAUCAGUAUCCCUCAUGUCACCCCAUCUUAACUCUAAUUCUUAAGAUCCUUGCCCUUCAAAUUGGCUUCAGAAGCAUUUAGACCAUGAAAAGCUCAAGCUUUACUAAAGAUAAUGCUCUUUAUAGUCCUAUCUCUUUCAUUCGAGUGCGCUUUCUAUCCCUUGUAUACUAGAUAAUACGCUUUCUAGUUAUAUUUAUGUUUCUUUCGAGUAUGUUUUUUAGUCCUCAUUUAUUAGAAAGUGUGCUUAAUAGUCAUAUCUCUUUUCUUUCAAUUGUGUUUUGUAGCCCUUAUAUACUAGAUAAUGCACUUUAUAGUAAUAUUCAUUUUUCUUUUGAGUGCGCUUUUUAGCCCUUGUAUACUAGAUAAUGUGCUUUUGAGCUCAAUCCAUCUUCCUUUUAAGUGCGCUUUCUAUCCCUCAUCCAUUAGAUAGUGCACCUUUUAACCUUAUCUUUUUUCCUUUCGAGUGCGCUUUCUAGCCCUCAUCCAUCAGAUAAUACACUUUCAAGUCCUAUCCUUUUCUUUUUAGUACGCUUUUUAGUCAUAUCAUUUUCUUCCCAAGUGCGCUUUAGAAAUCUCAAUUCUAACACUCUUGGAAAGAUUAACUAUUUUGUUAACUGUAAAUCUAUGAUGUUGUGUCUUUUCUUAUUUACAACUUACUAUUUAAAGUCUCUUAUAAAAUUUUUUGUCAUAGGCAUUAUAAAGAUGAAGCAACUGUUAUAACCUAAUUUUGGGAUCCCCCCAAAUUACAAGUUUUUUAAAUGAAAAGCAAUAAAAAAAUUGAAAAUGAAAAAGACUGAUAAAUUAAAAAAAAAAAAAACAAGUUGAGAAGGGUUUCAAAUGCAUGGAGGAACCAAGCUGGAGUUUUAGACAAAAUUGGAAUCCUAAUUGUACCUAUUUGUACCCAAGAUCAAUAAAGGGCAAAUUAAAUUAUUAUUGGAUUAAUUUGUAUUUUAAUAGGUCAACUUGAGUUAAUCAUGACCCUACUUAAAGGUUUUAUUAAGUUUAAAAAUUAAUUUGGGUCAAAUUAAGAGAAAUAAUUAAGUGUAAGGACUUAAUUAGACUUUUAAUAGGUUAAAGUUAUUUUUAUUAGGAAUUUAAUUGGUGAAAAAUUAAGUUUGAAAGCUUAAUUUGGGCUUAAUUGAGAAUAUUGAAAUUUUAGAUGAUCAAAUUUAUUAUUUUUAAGCUUAAUUGUUUGAAUUCAGGGAUAUAAUUGCAAGAAAAUCAAAGUUUAGUGGUCCAUCAAGGGUCAAAUUAAAGAAAUUCAAGACUAAGAAUCUUUAUGCAAAGGAGCAAAAAUUUAGGUCUCAAAUUCGGUUGAAAACAAGGAUGAAAUUCAAAAAAUUAAAAGUUUGAAAUUCAAUUAAAAAUAAAAUCAAAGAACCUUUAUGUAAAAGCAACGUGUUUUUCGAAGCCAUCUCUCCCCUCCACAUCCCUCACACCAUGACACUAAACAUACCUCUCUUGUGACCUGCUACUGUACCCCCAUCAAGAGCAGAAAAACAAGUCCUUUGGCAGUACUAAGAACACUGCCAAUCCGGCUUUUGUGGCUUUGUUUGGACAUGAGAAGCGUAGGCCAACACGUCCCUCACCCUCUAUAAAUGCCAACCUCAUGGCAACCAUAUGGCAGGGGGGAUAAAAAAAAGAAAAAAGAAGAUCAAACACUACACCAACACUAAACCCUCUCUACACCGACGACCUCACAAAAAUCAAACAACCUCAAUCCCUGUCCCAAAGAACAACAACUAGAGACCAUUGAAAGAGCAAUCACAGCAACAUUUGUUUUUCUCUCCUAGCCUUCAUUCCUCCAUCGAUACUCUCUUGUGCACCAGCAACAGCCUUGACAGAUCAAAAUUCAUUUUGUUAUGUUCCAAUUCGUGAGUUUGAGAGAGAAAGAAGAAAGUCACUUAAUAUUGGGUGAGGAGAGAGAAAGAGAUAGAUUGCCACAAUUCGAUAAUAAAAAAAUUGAUUUGGUUCCACUUGCCGAGAGUGGAAUUUCAUUGUGGUUUCACACCUUUUAUCUUAUCAGACAAAUAUAGAUCGAAGCUUGUAAUUUUUUUUUGAAUUGGAUGAUUUCUUAGUUUUUUUACCGGUUAAAAGUUGAUUUGAUGUUCGAUUUGAAUUUAUUGAGAAGUGUGGAGGUAUUUAUUAGGUGUUUUUAAGUGAAAAAUAACAAAAAAAAUAUAUUUGAGUUUAAGAGAAUGAAACCUAACUUUUAGAUCACCUAAUUUAGCCGGAAAGGUUACCAAUUUAUCUUUUCACAAUACAAGAUUAUAUAUUUUAAAUUGCAUUUAUCUUCUAAUUUUUUGAUUUAAUAUUUAAUUACUAUCACAACUCUUUUAAAUAAUUAUCACUGCACAUUAUUAUCAAUUUAUUUUAUUAAAUACACAUGUUAAAUUUUUAAUUCAUAGUUAGUUUUCUUAUAUGUUAAAAAAAACACUAACAGCCCCUAUCUUUUUUUUACUACAAAAAAUAAUGUUUGAUUCACUCGUUAUGAAGUUGCUAGUUAAGUUAUCAUGCAUUGAAGAGGUUGAGUUUUAGAGGUGAGUAUGAUAGGUAAUAAUAUAUAUGCCUUUUGUUUUGAAACUUUAAUUUCAAUUUAAAACUAUUUAAAGUGGAUUAGAAUUGAUUUUGAAGUUAAAAAUGGGUUUAUAUAAACUAUUAGGAUGGGUUUGAGAUUCUUAAGCUGAAAAUGAUUGAAAAUGGCAUUUUUGAUACCCAUGGAUGGUGGCUCUCGAUUUUCUAGCUAUCGAAGCGUCGCUUAGAAAACAUAGCAGGAAUCAUACCCACAGUAUAGCUCGGAUGCAUUGGCUGAUUGAUCAAGAAAGGGUUCUACGAAACUACAAAAUUAACCAUUGCCACUCAUCUUCUAGAGUGAAGGAACCCUUCUCCAGAUCUGGUCAUAGUUUUUUGGAUAAUUCAAACUCAUUUUUUUGGAUAACAAAAAGAUUGCUGUUACCUGAAAAAAUGAAGUCGAAUGAAGGUUUACAAGGUCAAAGACAGCGAUCAAACACUCAUAAAUGCAAUGAAUCAGCUUGUCUUGGACUUCCCACAGAUACACCUGUUUUCUACCACACUUAUUUUGGGACUCAUUAUAUCUGAAAAUGUCUUCAGCAAAGCAUAUUCUCCUUCUUCUUCAUUUUUUAAUCUUUUGAUAUGCAUAUUAAUUCAACAUUACAUAAGGGCUAAGGCUUUUGUGAAUAAGGGGCUAUUCACACAAAAGAAUAAAAAGCCAUGAACAAAUGUGCAGCAGACAUCCAUCAAUGCAAGAAAUGCCCAUUUUCAAGAACUCUAAGCAACUCCUAAAUCCAGAACAAAACCCUCAAAUAUCAAAUCUUUAUAUGUUUGAAUAUCUAAAAAGAAGAAAAAGCAACCAAAUCUUUAUAUGAACUUGACAUCCAUCAAUGCAACAGCGUCACCGUUUUAUCCGGGAGCACGAGCACUUGUCUGAGCAGCAUCUGCUUGAGCUGCCGCCUGAGCAGCUAAUAAUCUGAUCAAUCAAUACUAACUACAAACGUAGUCAAAUUGUAUCCUAUUUGAUGUUAUUUUCGAUGCAACUGUCAGUCCGCUAAACAAUAUUUGCUUGAUCUUGCACAACCAACAUACAUACAUGAAGAAAAGAAGUAUUCUUUUUCCAUUCCAAUAGCCAAAAAAAAAAAAAAAGGCAAUCACAUUUCCAUGUUCUUCAAAGCUAUUUGUUAUGCAACUUCCUCACCAACUGUUAACACUCAUUAAUCUCUAACAGCAGUAGACAUAUAUGAAGAAGAAAUCAACAAUAUUCAUCCCACUUUAACACCCCAAAAAAGGUGGGUUAGAAAUCACCCCACCCACCUUCACUAACUUUCCUUACCUUUUGAUAGCCAACAAUACAACGCGAAGAAAAUAAGUGUUCUUUUCCCAUUUUCAAAGCUAAAAAAAAAAAAAAAAAGAGUAAAUGAAGAAGUAUGGUGUGUGGUAUCUGAGUUUAUCCUAUGUCGGGUUCUAUCAAAAGCUGGUUUUUGCUUGGUGAGACCAGGUGUAUUUAUACAUUAACUUCAAAUUUUUUUAUGAAGAAGAAAAUCAUGUCAUUAGCUAACCAAGAUGGCUCGUUAAAGCGAGCUUGGGUUUUGUGCCUAGCUUGAUGAAGCAGCUUGGAAGAGAUCGAAGUUGGUGUGCCAGUGUAACAGGGUAUUUACACACCAACUUAAAACUUCAUUUGCUUUUUUAAAAAAAAAAAUCUUUAGUUAAUAAUAAAUCUCACAAUUAUUAAUUAUUGGUUAUAUAUACUUUUUUACUAUGUAUCAUAUUGGUGCCCACCAGUGCAGUUUCAUCCCUCAGCAGGGUCUGGAUCCAGCAGACCAGCAAAGACAGCAGCUUGUUCUUUAGUCUUGCCAUCAGCAAUGUGAGCAACAGCUUCGUCAGUUAAGCCGGCACUAAAAUCAUGGGAUGUUUUUUAAAUGGAAAGAGUGAAAUUAAAUUGAUUUUUAGAAUCAAAAUUUAAUUACGGAUCUCAUUGAAUAAAUAAAAAAAUUACGGAUUGAAAUCGAGAGGAGAUUUAAACCUAAUUUGAAUCUAAAGAGCCAAAACCACUCUGUUUGAUUUAAAUCGAAUGGCAUGUUUUGCAUAAAAUGACAUGGUUUUGGUAAUUAAUUAAUUAAUAAAUAAAAGAAGCGAGAAAAAGAAAAGAAGGAAAAGACGUCGUUUUACUGUGCACCGUGUUCUUUCUCUGUGCCAGAUUUUGAAGAUAAGAGAUGGUUUUUCCCCUUUGUUUAAACCCUUUUUUUAGGCCCUCUCUCUCCUCCAUGAUAUUAGCUCGGAAAGAGUGCAACAACAGAUAUAUUAUGCAUAAAUAAUAUGUAAAAUGAGUUGUCUAUGUAAACGGUGUUCUAUCGAUUUAUAAGAUAGCUAGGUAGGUGUUGUUAUGAUAUGUGUUUUACUGACAAUUUAUAAUUAAGAAAUGGUAGGCAUUAUAUAAUUAACAAUUUGUGAGAAAGGAUAGCAGUACCAUACUAAUAACAAUUGUUUGGUCUGAGUUGUUUAAGUGGUGACCCAUACUAGUAGCAGUUGUUAAGUCAGGUCUAAAGAUAUUCGCACUCUCUCUUUUCUAUGAGGCCUUUGGCCCCAUCAUGUAUAAAGAAAUAUUUCCAAGGAAUCCUAGAGAUCGAAAUUCUCUCCAUCUGUGCAACUUCCCUUGGAUUCUCGCUUUUCGUCCUCACCAUUCUAAUGAUAUGCUUCCCGAUGACGUGCGAAGUAGAAACCGACAGCUUGGCCAAGUAGCAGUUGUUAAGUCAGGUCUAAAGAUAUUCGCUCUCUCUCUUUUUUAUGGGUCCUUUGGCCCCAUCAUGUAUAAUGAAAGAUUCAUUUGUGAAUGAAAAAUAGAGCUUUGUUCCAUUAGGAGUUGAAACCACCUAACUUGGCUUAAUUAGAUGUGACUAUAGAAAAAUCUAACAAUAAAUUUCAUUAAUCGUAUUUAAUGUGAUGAAUGUUCUUUGUAGCAGACGUACGUGAAGUGAUUUGAAAAAUAUAAAUAUUGAGUUUUAGAAACAUACAUUUCGUGAAAAUAAUUAUAUAAACACUUAUUGCACUAACCAAUAGCUAGCAGUUCAUACAUUAAAGUGUCCUUUCAUUCAUAUUAGUCUAACAUAGUGAUUCCUUUCUUUAUCCUCAUACUUUUUGUUAUUGAUUGCAUCCUUUAGUUUGUUGUUUGUUGGUUUUUUUUUAUUAGUAGUCUCUUUUAUUGGCAUGUUCUUGGUAAUCGAAGGUUUUUAUCAUAUUUUGAAACUUGAUUUGAGAUCAAUUUAAAUUUAAUGAGAUGAUGUUUGAAUUUUUUCCAUAAAGACAAAAUUUAGAAAAAAGGAUUAAAAAAAAUGCACUUUUGUCCCUUUUUCUUUACAUAUUUUUACUUUUGUUCCUUUAGUUUUAGCAUUUUAGGUUUUGGUCCAAAAUUCAUUAUGUUAUGUGUCGCACGUGUGCGGCGUCGCGGCAAAAACAUCCACCCUCAUAAUUUUCUUAUUAUCUAAUGUUAUCUAAAAAUGUGGCAAAUGUGGGGAGACAAUGAAUUCUUGUCUUUUAUUAGUGGAAAAAUGGGAGUCGCCACCUAGUAUUUUGGUCACUAGGAACCCUAACUGGUCUCAGAGAUCAGGUACGGGGACUGGUUGCGUAAAGGGAAGGUAUUAGCACCCCAAAUACGCCCUACCUAAGGUAAGCUGCAUUGUUUUAUUGUCUGAUAAAAUCUAAGGUCUUGUCGUGUUUUCUAGUUGUUGGUUCGUCUAUGGUUCAAGAAAAGUCUUCCUCGGUAAGGAGAUUCUUAUCUUAUCGGGUAAUUUUGAUGUCAACAAAAGAAAUUUAAUAUCCGGAAUACGUCUUAUGUAUAAGGUCGUAACCCCAGAUAUUAAAAGAAAACAAAAUAAUUUUUUUGGAAUUUUUGAAAUAUUGGCCUAGUUCUCGUGACUUUAAUAAACUGGUUAUUAAAACCAAAAUGCAUGCUAAUACAUAUUUUUGAACUUUUCUUUGUUAUAUGAAAAUACAAUAUGAAUUUUUUUUAAUUUUUGAGAGACUUGGCCGUAUGCAUGAAAACAAAAUAUUUUUUUAUGUUUUGACAAAAACCAGGUAUUUCAAUACCAGAUUUGUAUCUUUACAAUAUAAAAAUACAAACCAAUAUUGAUCAAAAUGCAGUAAAAUAUUUGCGGAAAAUCACAGAUUUUUUUUUAAAUAAUUUUUGAAGAAAUUUUUUUUUCUUUUUUUCGGGCUGGGCUGGACCCAACCACCCAUGUGGCUUGACCCAACUAAGCCAUGCACGCGUAAAAUUCUACGCGUGCAUAUAUUACCUUCGCACUGUUCAUCCUUCGUUUUUUCGUGCACCAGCAACAGCCUUGACAGAUCAAAAUUCAUUUUGUUAUGUUCAAAUUCGUGAGUUUGAGAGAGAAAAAAGAAAGUCACUUACUAUUGGGUGAGGUCUUAGUUUUUUCACCGGUUAAAAGUUGUUUCAAUAUUUGAUAUUAAAAAGUGUAGGGUGUUUAUUAGGUGUUUUCAAGUGAAAAAUUAAAAAAAAAAGUUUUUUUAGGUUCAAGAAAAUGAAACCUAACUUUGAGACCACCUAACUUGGCCGGAAAGGUUACCAAUUUAUCUCCCCGUAAUACGAGAUCAAAUAUUUUAAAUUGUAUUUAUCUUCUACUUUUAUAUUUAAUAUUUAAUUAUUAUUAACAACUCUUUUUAAUAAUUAUCAGCACAUAUUAUUAUCGAUUUAUUCUAUUAAAUACAUAUGUCAAAUUUUUAAUUCAUAGUUUGUUUUUUUAUACACUAAAAAACUAUUAACAAUCCCUAUCUUUUUUUUAUUAAAAGAAUAAUGUUUGAUCUCACUCGCUGUGAAGUUGCUAGUUACGUUAUCAUGUAUUGAAGUGGUUUGGUUUUAGAGGUAGGUAUGAUGGGUAAUAAUAUAUAUGUAUUUUGUUUCGAGAUUUUAAUUUCAAUUUAAAACCAUUUAAAGUGGAUUAGAAUUGAUUUUUAAGUUAAAAAUGGGUCUAUAGAAACUAUUAGGAUGGGUUUGAGGUUUUUAUGCUGAAAAUGAUUGAAAAUGGCCUUCGAUUAAUUAUAUUAUUAAAUUAACUAAUUUUAUUUAAUAUAAUCAAGUUAAUCACCAAAAUCUUAUAUUUUUUUUAAAGUAGUCUCAACAUUAUUUUUCCAUGUUAAAAAAAUCACACGGUAGAUAGCAAUCCGCGAGCCACCUAAUACUAAUACAUCAUUAGCUAACAUCCACUGGAGGAUUUAUUUUAUUGAAUAUAUAUAUAUAUAUAUAUAUAUAUAGACACACACAUCAAUCUUGGGUUCCCACUAGGAAAUUUUCUAGCUAUCGAAGCGUCGCUUAGAAAACAUAGCAGGAAUCAUACCCACAGUAUAGCUCGGAUGCAUUGGCUGAUUGAUCAAGAAAGGGUUCUACGAAUCUAAUAUAGUUUGUUUUCACUUGACUACAAAAUUAACAAAGGCCACUCAUCUUCUAGAGUGAAGGAACCCUUCUCCAAUAUCAAAUCUUUAUAUGUUUGAAUAUCUAAAAAGAAGAAAAGGCAACCAAAUUUUCAAGCUUUUUCCCUCUAUUUUUUUUUUUUGGGGGGGGGGGGGGGGAGCAAAAAAGGUCAUGGAUUUUUGCCAUUUUUUGGUUACAUGGAGAGCAGGGGGAUCUCAUUAAAGCAAAUAAUUCAUCAAUCAUAAUCAAAACUCAAAACAAAGCAUGCAAGUACAAGUACACCAUGAAUUUUAAUGUUGAUGGUAAAAAAUUAAAAAUGGUGUAAAUUGAGAUGGAGAGCUAAAUAUAUAAAAAGACCAAAAAACAAAACGAAUGCUAUAAUCAAAUUUCGAACAUCUAAAAGGUAUCUUGUGUGCGACUAUUUCCAUGUCAUUAUGUACGACAGAAAAAAGAGAGGAUGCUAUAAAAGAAUGUGUGGAACCAAGUGAAACAAUGAACAUCCAAAAGGGGAGUUUGAAAUUGAUGAAUUAAAUUUUUAUCUCUAUAUUUUUUUAAAAAAAUUAUAAAUAUAAAUUUUCAGGAAUAUAAAUAUAUUACAAUGAAAGCAUGUUAAGUUCGACGCUAGUCAGACCCGUGCAUGUUAGACUUAACAAUAUACCAAGCCUCAAACAUGUUAGGUCCGACAAUGUGAAAUGACCUUCCUCUCUUUUAGACUAAAUAUAUUGUUUUAAACAACAAUAAUUUAUACAUUAAAGGGUCUUUUCGAUCCUACUAGACCAACAAAAUUAUAUAAAUAUUUAAAACAAAGCUAUUAAUAUGAUAUUUAUUAUGGAUUAUAUUCUAUUAUGCCUUUCAUUGUUAAAUUUUGUCAUCCAAUUUAUAAUUUGAAGUCAUUGGAGCAUAGCUAUUUGAAUAGCUAAAAUAGCAUCUUCUUACCAAGCUUACCGAUCGAGCCAAAAGCAAGUUGAAAGUAUAUAUACCCGCUAGUCAACAUACCUCAAUUGUGAUGUGUGUGGCUCAACCCCUGCUCUUGACAGGAAGGUGCCUCUGCUCGCAAUGCGCGUUCCAUAUCCCUUUCAUAUCUCUUCUCACUUUUUCUCCACUGAAACUCCAUCUUCUUUACAGUGUAAGAAAAAGAUCCGUAAGAAAAUCCAGGAAACUUACCAGUACGAGUUCUUGACCUAAAGGAACCGGAACAAAUUCAAAGUCAUUGGAAUAAAAAGAAAGAAAAAGGCUUUCGAAGUUGGUUACUAAGGCUAAGUUUGUUUUCCGGAAUUUAUUUUCUAGAAAACUAUUUUCCAAACUUUCUUGUGUUUGUUUGUCAUUAGAAAAGUUAGUCAACGAAAAAUACUUUUCAGUCAAAGGAAAAUUUGACUUGGUUUACAGGAAAAUAUUUUCCUGAAAAAUUUGAGCGGAAAACACUUUCCGGAAGUUGUGAAAAAUUUAGAAAUGUCAAAUUUGAUCCUCAAACUUUUGAUUGCUAUAUAUAUUUUGUUUUGAAUAUUUAUUUUUCAAUUUCAUCUCUUAAAAUUUAAUUUUUAUAAACUUUGGUCCUCAUUUUUAUAAUUGUUAUUUGCUUUUCCCUUAUCAUUUUUUUAUUGAAAUUUUUUAUGUAUCAAAUUUGAUCCUCAUUCUUUUGAUUGUUACUUAUUUUAUUUGAAAUAAUUUAUGAAAUGUUAAUUAUUAUUAUUUUAAUUUCUUCAUCUUUUUUUUUAGAUUUGAUCUCUAUUAUUUUGAUUAUUAUUUAUUUUAUUUGAGAUAAUUUAUGAAAUUAUAUUUUUUUUUCAAUUUCAUUCUCAUUCAACUUUUUAAUUUGUAAGAUUUGUUUCUCAUUAUUUUAAUAAACUUGAGAAAAAUAAAAUAUUAAUAAGUUAUUUUCCAACUCAUUUUCCAUGACAUAACCAAAUACUGAAAAGUGUUUUCCAACUUAUUUUCCAUUACACUACCAAACAUCAGAAAAUAAUUUACUUUAAAAAAAAAACUACUUUCCAGCAAACAAACAGAGCCUAAGAUACCAGAAGAAAAAGAAAUAUUGGGCGUGGCCUGGAUCUUGUGCCUCUUUAGCCAACACUUACCACCCGGUUUGUUUCGUCUAGAUUCGUGAAAUACUCGUAGAAAUUUGGUGUUUUCUGAUUUCUAAGUAGAAUUGUACAUGUUCCAGCUUGGAAUUGCUAAUUGGUAGAUUUGAUUGCCAAAUUUCUUGAUCUUACCUUCUGUUUCAUGUUUGACCACAGGAGCAGGCCUUACACAAAAUAGCGUGGAAAGCAAUUGCUGAACCAAGCGAGCUAGUUGAGGCCAGAAGGGAUCGGUACUAGUUUAUCGCUAUUGGGAUUUUCAUGGCUUCCAGCAGCAUGCAAGGAAUAACCUCAUCUUCAUCUCCUCCUCCUCCACUAUAUAUGCAUGAUGUGUUCCUUAGUUUUAGAGGCAAAGACACGCGGAACAACUUUACUAGUCAUCUACAAACUAAUCUGGCACAGAGAGGCAUCGAUGCAUACAUGGAUGAUAGGGAGCUCGAGAGAGGAAAGACCAUUGAACCUGCUCUCUGGAAGGCCAUCGAAGAAUCAAGGUUUUCUGUCAUUAUAUUUUCAAGAGAUUACGCUUCUUCACCAUGGUGCUUGGAUGAACUUGUCAAGAUUGUUCAGUGCAUGAAAGAGAUGGGGCACACUGUUCUGCCAGUUUUUUAUGAUGUGGAUCCCUCAGAGACAUAUGAGAAAGCCUUCGUUGAGCAUGAACAAAAUUUCAAGGAAAAUCUGGAGAAGGUCCAGAUCUGGAAAGAUUGUCUCUCUACGGUGACCAAUCUAUCAGGCUGGGACAUACGGAAUAGGUAAAUCAUCUAUCUACUUAUUCUUAUUCUCAAAUCCUCCCUGUAUUGUUUCAAUGAUGAUCAUAGCUUUACAAACAACGCCCUGCAUGCCAUAGAGAUGAACAAUUUUUUUUCCUAACCAAUUGUAAAUCAAAGUGCACAAGCCCUGACCAGUAAGAAACUGGGAACAACACCCAAUAGCUACUGUAGUGAAUCCAAGCUCGUCUUUCCCUUUUUUUUUUUUUUUUUUAAACUCAUGAGCUAUAAAUACAUAAUGAGAUUUUUAGAAUAAAGAUUCAUAAUUUUCUUUUUUUAUUGAAUAUAUAAUUUCAAAGCAUCUUUCUAAAAUAUUAUUUUAUUUCUUUUAAAAAAUAUAUUUAUAUAAGCAUCGAAUUUCAUUAUAAAUCAUGUUCAAAAAAAAAAAUUCAGCAAGCAAGCUAUAAAGGGGUCUAUAUUUGCUUUCAUUAACUAAAAUAGCAAUAGCAACACAAUCCAUAUACAUAGUUGGAAAUUGAUGAUCGUCCUGAUAAUUAAAAAAAAAAAAAAAACAGGAAGCAUUACAAACAACGCCAUAGAGAUGAACGAUUUAUUUUUUUCCAACCAACUGUAAAUCAAAGUGCACAAGCCUGACCAAUAAGAAACUGGGAACAACACGCAAUAGCUAUACUGAACAAAUAAAUCAAACCGCGAAAUACAUGAAACUGGAGACGGUCAACAAAAACCAAACAAGACAAACUUAUAGUGCUGGAACCAUCAUCAUCACCCCAUCUUUUUUUUUUCUCUCUGUCCCCUUUUAGGAACCACAAUUCUACACUUCUCUUCCCACUUUAUCCUCCCAUCUCAUCUCUUUUUUUAUCCCUGUUAAAAAGACCAAAACAGCCCUAAAAAACAACCUUACUUUCCAACAAACCAAAGACAAAACCUACAGUGUUUUACCAGUUACAGUGAUUUCACUGCAUGUUUUAGCUUUUUGUUAAUUAAUAUAUUUUAUGUGAAAAAAAUAAUAUAAAUAUUUAAAACAAAGCUAUUUUCUAACUUUUACACUAAAUAUAUUAUUUUAAACAACGACAAUCUAUACAUUAAAGGGUCUUUUUGAUCCUACUAGACCAACAAAAUUAUAUAAAUAUUUAAAACAAAGCUAUUAAUAUGAUAUUUAUUAUUGAUUAUAUUUUAUUAUGCCUUUCAUUGUUAAAUUUUGUCAUCCAGAUUAUAAUUUGAAGUCGUUGGAGCAUAGUUAUUUGAAUAGCUAAAAUACAUUUUCUUUUACUAAAAUUCUAUUUUUACAUAUCUACGUAGCAUAGCCAAAACCAAAAGGAAAGUAUAUAUACUCGUUAGCCAACAUAUUUUUAUCUAUAAUUAGCAUUUGUUUGUCUCUUUAAAAACAGAACAAUAGAAAAAAAAAGCCUGUAAAUCUCAGAGCCUAAAAAAUUUGAUAGUAUAUAUAAAACUGAAAAUUAAAAAUAUUCAUAAAAUUUUGAUUUUAGAAAUUUAAAAUUUAAACUUCAAAUUAUAUCUUUUAACUUUGAUAUUACUUUAUUAAUUUUAUAAAUUACUUAUAUUAAUUAAUUGUAUAAUUGAUAACAUGAUUGUAUUAUAUAUAAAAUAAUUAAACUAGUUAUAUAACUAUAUUAAAAUAAGUUUAAUAUAAAAUAUAUUAAAAUAUAAUUAACUCUCCUAAAUAACUUUUUACCAUUAAAAUUGGACAUAAAAAAACUAUAUUUACAUCCAUUUUUAUCAAUUUAAUUUUUAACUUCUAAAAAUAGCAUGUCUUAUUGAAGUUGCUCUUAUGCAGAAUUACAAGGGCCAAAGGGAAAGAGACAAAAGAAGUCCAAAAAUAUUUAUUUUAAACAUAGAUGCUUGACUUGAAAAUUCAUUACAAAACACGAAUCAACUCAAUUAAUUGUGAUGUGCGUGGCCCAACCCCUGCUCUUGACAGGAAGGUGCCUCUGCUGCCCAAUGCGCGUUCGAUAUCCCUUUCAUUUCUUUCUCUACUGUUUCUCCACCGAAAGUCCAACUUCUUUACAGUGUAAGAUCCGUAAGAAAAUCAUUGGAAACUUACCAAUACGAGUUCUUGACCUAAAGGAACCGGAAAAAAUUCGAUGUCAUUGGAAUAAAAAGAAAGUCAAGGGCUUUGGAAGUUGGUUACUAAGAUACCAGAAGAAGAAAAAAUAUUGAGCCUGGCUGGAUCUUGUGCCUCUUUAGCCAACACUUACCACACGGUUUGUUUCGUCUAGAUUCGUGUAAUACUUGUAGAAAUUUGGUGUUUUCUGAUUUAUGAGUAGAAUUGUACAUGUUCCAGCUUGAAAUUGCUAAUUGGUAGAUUUAAUUGCCAAAUUUCUUGAUCUUACCUUCUGUUUCAUGUUUGACCACAGGAGCAGGCCUUAUACAAAAUAGCGUGGAAAGCAAUUGCUGAACCAAGCGAGCUAGUUGAAGCCAGAAGGGAUCGGUACUAGUUAAUUUAUCGCUAUAGGGAUUUUCAUGGCUUCCACCAGCGUGCAAGGAAUAACCUCAUCUUCAUCUUCUCCUCCUCCACUAUAUAUGCAUGAUGUGUUCCUUAGUUUUAGAGGCAAAGACACCCGGAACAACUUUACUAGUCAUCUAUGUUCUAAUCUGGCACAGAGAGGCAUCGAUGUGUACGUGGAUGAUAGGGAGCUCGAGAGAGGAAAGACCAUCGAACCUGCUCUCUGGAAGGCCAUCGAAGAAUCAAGGUUUUCUGUCAUUAUAUUUUCACGAGAUUACGCUUCUUCACCAUGGUGCCUGGAUGAACUUGUCAAGAUUGUUCAGUGCAUGAAAGAGACGGGGCACACUGUUCUGCCAGUUUUUUAUGAUGUGGAUCCCUCAGAGGUAGCCGAGCAGAAAGGGCAAUAUGAGAAAGCCUUCGGUGAGCAUGAACAAAAUUUCAAGGAAAACUUGGAGAAGGUCCGGAACUGGAAAGAUUGUCUCUCUACGGUGGCUAAUCUAUCAGGCUGGGACGUGCGAGAUAGGUAAAUCAUCUAUCUACUUAUUCUUAUUCUCAAAUCCUCACUGUAUUGUUUCAAUGAUGAUCAUAGCUUCUUUUUUUUUUUUUCAAUUUAAACGUGUGAUUAAAUAUCGAAAUAAUCACAAUACAACAAGAGUUUCAAAACUAAUUCUUGAGUAAAUAAUUAUUAGUAUAUAUUUCCUGUAAAAUUAAAAAUACUUACCUUAUCUUCAAGGGCUUAUUCAUGCUUCUUCUUUUUUUGUGAUAAAAAAAAAGAAAGUGGUUGGCUUGUUUGUAGAACACACAGAAAGUUGCCUUAUUUAAGCAGCACGAGCAAUGACUUAUUAAAUCACCAAUUUGUGCUUCAGAUCGCGAGUUUCACAUGUUAAUUAUAGUUAUUCCAAGUCGAUCUAGUAUUUUGUCAUCACAAUUAUAUUUUUAAUUAAAUAUAUCAUUCAAUAUAUUAUUAUCUUAAUAUUUUAAAAGUGUUUUUAUAGCAUGUAUUGAAUUUUUUACUGUCAAAUAUUAUUAUAUUUUUUAAAGGUUAGAAACAAAUAAUAGGUUAAAGAACUACACGUUGAAGUGAAGUUUUCAACAAGUGGCAACUUAUCAUUAGUAUUUUUAAAAGGUUAUCAUCUAUGGUUCAGUUUUUAAGGUAUGACAUAUAAGCUACAUGAUUAUUUCUCAAAAUACUAUAGGUGGGAAAAAAACUUUUCAAAGUAGCACGGUUUCAUCCAUAGUUAAAGAAAAAAAUAAGGGAAGGAAAACCCAGCGUGACCCGGGGACCCUGUUAACUCGACAAGACCCGUUCAAAACCUGGUUGCGACCCAUUAAUUUUUUUUUACUCAAACGACGUCGUUUUGAUUUUUUUAAAAAAAAAUUGACCUGGACCUUGGACCGGACCGGCCACCAAGCCGGGUCUCAAAACUAUGGUUUCAUCAAUUGCAUAGGUCUCACUUACGCAACUUGACACAUCCAGGUCUCACAUGUCAAAAAAAAUCUUCCUUUCUUUUUUUGUUGGGUUGGUCCCUCAAUUUUUAUAUUUAGUUAACUUUAGUACUAUUAUUACGAUCAUUUCAUCUAUUCUUCUGCACACAGAAAAAUAUAUGAAUUAAAGUUAAUAUUUAUUUCAAAUGCAAUCGCUAAAAACGAGUUAAUUUUUGCCUAAAAUAUUGUUAUGUUUUUGCCCAACUUAAAUAAAAAUAAGUUUAUAUUAAUGAAAUGAUCAUUAUAUUGAAAUUAAUAUUAAGAUUGUAUGAAAAUUGAAAGGCCAAAUGAAAGAUUAAAUAGAGAAGAAAGAUGAAGAAAUGGGUUGUGAAAAUGGCAUACGUGAUAUCAGUGCAUCUCAAGGUGCGUGAAUUGGAUUUGCGCAACCACUUCAAAGGUUAGUCUGGGAAAUGUUUUUUGGGCUAUGCUAAUAUGGAAAAAACUCAAAAUUUAAUAAAUUUAAAGUUGUUUUUGUAAAGUUAAUUAUGCAAGAUAAUUGAAUUUUUUGUUAAAGAUAAUUAUAAAAAUAACUUAGUGGUCGAAAAAAAAUAUAAUAGAAUUCCAUUUGCUUUUUGGCCUGUUAAAACCAAACUUAAUGGAUAUUUUAUUUCCUAGCUUUUGUCCAUGCUUCUUUAGUAACUGUGUGAUUCCAUAGGCAAUAAGAUAGCUAUUGUAAGGAUCAUUCUUAGCAUCAAUACAAUCCUAGUUCCUUUUUCAGUUUAUUCUUUCCUUUUCCUCUCUGUUCUUGAAGCUAUCUAUUGUCAGAGCCCUAUCUUUCUCAAAGGUUGGUGUAUUAAUUUCCGGCUAACAGCCAUACAUUUUCGAGCUACAAUAUGCUAAUGUUUAUUUUCCUAUUAUCACUAUCUGAUUUGAUUUCUGCACACUGCAUGAUUAAUGUUUUGCACCCUCCUAUGCAGGAAUGAGUCGGAAUCAAUUAAAAUAAUUGCUGAAUACAUAUCGUACAAACUAAGCGUCACUCUGCCAACAAUUAGCAAAAAAUUGGUUGGAAUAGAUUCUCGUCUAGAGGUAUUAAAUGGCUAUAUAGGUGAAGAAGUAGGCAAAGCAAUCUUCAUAGGGAUAUGUGGAAUGGGUGGCUUGGGUAAGACGACUGUUGCAAGGGUAGUAUAUGAUAGGAUUCGUUGGCAAUUUGAAGGCAGCUGCUUCUUAGCAAAUGUCAGAGAAGUUUUUGCUGAGAAAGAUGGACCACGUCGUUUGCAGGAACAACUUCUUUCUGAAAUCUUAAUGGAACGUGCUUCUGUAUGGGAUUCUUAUAGAGGGAUUGAGAUGAUAAAGCGGAGGUUACGACUUAAAAAGAUUCUUCUUAUCCUUGAUGAUGUAGAUGAAAAAGAACAACUAGAAUUCUUGGCUGAGGAGCCUGGAUGGUUUGGUCCAGGGAGCAGAAUUAUCAUAACAAGCAGAGAUAAACAAGUGUUGACUAGAAAUGGUGUUGCUAGAAUUUAUGAGGCUGAGAAAUUGAAUGAUGAUGAUGCUCUUACGUUGUUUAGCCAGAAAGCUUUCAAAAAUGACCAACCUGCUGAAGAUUUCGUGGAACUAUCCAAGCAAGUUGUGGGUUAUGCUACUGGCCUUCCACUGGCUCUUGAAGUUAUGGGUACCUUUAUGCAUGGAAGAAGUAUCCUUGAAUGGGGAAGUGCGAUUAAUAGACUAAAUGAUAUUCCUGACCGUGAAAUUAUUGAUGUGCUUCGGAUUAGUUUUGAUGGUCUCCAUGAAUCAGAUAAGAAAAUAUUUUAGACAUUGCAUGUCUCCUCGAGGAGCAGCAGCUGCAGCUCGAGCAUAAGCUGAUGCUCGAUCAGCAGCAGAAGUUCCAUUAGCAGGUGCUUCAGCAGUGGCGGCAGCAGCAGCUCGAUGAGCAGCUGCUCCAGCAGCAGCAGGUGCUGCUCCAGCGGCAGCAAGUGCAGCAGCUCCCUGGGUUCUGGUUAGGAAUUUAACUUGCUUUAGCUUGAAGAUCUUCGUCAGUUUUUGCUCAUGGUUUUGGUUUGGGGUAAUUAGAUUCACAUUUUACUAUGUAUGGAUUUUCUUCUUAAAUUUAGGAUAAUCUCAUGUUUGCGGAUGGAAGGAUUGUUUCCAUAUUAAAACUUUUACAUGGCGGAAAGCCUGUGCUCUGGAAAAUUUCAACCAUUAUUUUGGAAUAGCUACUCUGCCUACUUUUUUUACUCUGGUUUUGGCGGGUAUAUGUGUUAGAUUUAAAUUAAAAACAAUAUAUAUUUCUAAAAGAUAAAACCAAUAAUUUCUUAUCAAUAUGAUUUUUUUUUCAUCAAUUUUAUUCAGAAUUCUUUGAAAUUAAUUUUUUAUUUAUCCAUAAUUAAUUUUAAGUAUUUUAAUAUUUCAUGUUAUAAUUAAUAUUCAUUCAAAAAAAUAUUUUUCAACAAAAUCUUAACUCAUUAAUUUAAUUUUUUAUUAAAAUUUAAAUACAAUAACUACGUUUUAAAACUAAUUUCUCCUAACUGUCAAAUAAUCAAUUCAAUCUAAUAACUUAAGCUGUUAAGUGAAGUCUCAAGAUAUGAUUUAUAUUAUUCUCUAACACCCCACUCAAGUAGAAGUAUUUUGGACUUGAAUUUGUAUAAGGUCACAUUACCUUAUGUUUAAUUUUUAUUAAAUAAAUGAGAAUGAUGAAAUUUGAACUCGUGAUUGUUUGGUUAUCAAGGCUCUGAUAUAAAUGGCAAAAAUAAUUUUAAAAAAUAUAUAUUAAUAUUGAUAGUUUUUAAUUUAAAUAUUGUAGAUUUAACUAUUGUUAUUACAUCAUGAAAUAAAUAAUACUUUAUAUAAAAUAUGUUUUAUUGUUCCAUUGAACUAUCUACAAUUCCAUCACGUAUGAAAUACAUCCGACAAGGAUUACAGUUUUCACAAAUUUCUUAAGAGCGCAACAACAUCAGGUAAAAUAUAAUCAGGAAUAAAAUUGGAAUUGCUAUCAAAUUCUGCAAAUGUUACGUCAUCAAACAAUCUCUGUCUAAUUAUACACUACAAGAUUUCACAGUUUUACUGAUGGAAAAAUUCCUUCAGUGUGUGAUUAGAAGUUCGUCGAUGAUUUUUUUACCGACGUCAUCACCGACGGAUUACGUCCGUCGGCUUUUCUUUUGUCGGUGAUUUCCCAUUCCGUUGCUAUAUCGGUCGGCAACACAAAAAAACCAUUUGCCGAUGGUUUUACAAACAUGAUUUGUGCGCCAAAAAAAAAAGAUUCCCGCUUGAAAUAUACUGACGAAUUUUUAGUCCGUCGGUGAUAUCGUGAAUUACCGACGACUACUAACCGUCGGUAAAUCUGUCGGUGAGUGUAUGAAAUACCGACCGAAUAUAUCCGUCUGUAAAUUCGUCGGUAAGUGUGGUAGCUACUGUUAAAUGCUGACAGAUUAAUUCCAUCGGCAAGUCUGUCGGUGAGUGUUUAAAAUACCGAUCGAAUGAAUCCGUCGGUAAAAUCCUUGGUAAUAGUUUUUUUCUAAAUUUGUUUUUAAAAAAUUAUUUAGGAUAUAUAAUAUAAAACUAUAUAAAUUAAUUGUAAUACAAACCUAUGCAAAUAAAAUUUAUAUUAAACAUAAAAAAAAAACAAAGUUAAAUAAUAUUCAUUACAAACUGAAUAUGUUUCAAAAAAAAUAUUAAAUGAAGUUUUAAAGGUAAAUAAUGUUUAUUACAAAUUAAUAUAAAGGUGGAGCUGGAGGAGGAGGAGGAGAUCCUGGAGGAGGAGGCUGGAGGUUAUACAGCCAAAAAGGAUUAGGCGCACAUGUUCCACUAUUUGCCAUGUUCAUAACCAUUUCAUGAAGCUGUUCAUAAGCCGCUUUUUGUUGUUCAUACUCCGCUUUUUGUUGUGCUUGAGACGCUUUGAUUUGCUCAGACUCCGCUCUUUGUUGUGCAUAAGACGCUUUGAGUUGUGCGUACUCCGCUGAUAGGUGGUCGUAUUUGUCGGUGAGCUGAGCCGUGUGUUGCUGCAAUGCCACGAACUCCUUAGAUUGGGAGCUCGAUAUUGAUUGGGAGCUCCCAACGGUUGAAACACUACGGGUCGACCACAAGUUGUCGGCCAUUGUGUUGGAGAACCCGUAAACCCGAUUUUUAUCGGGUCCACCUGACGAGCCAACCUCCAUCCACAAAUUCAGAUCGAAUUUUGGAUGGGUCAAAAUAUCGUCCCCGUAUCUCUCCUUCAACCGAUUAUUAUAGGUCUCCUGAAAAUAAAAAAAAAAGUAAUCAUCAUAUUCAAUUCAAUAAACAUAAUAACUUACAUAAUAACUUACAAAAUAAAAUGGUCGAACAAACAUACCACGAAAUGUUGAGCACAGUUAUCAACGAACUGUUGCGCCCCCUUUUAGCGGUCAUGACUCCGCACGUGCGUCUCCACAAACAGCUCCAUCGGGCUCGGCUCACGUCCAAGAGACGCAGCCUAUAAUGAAAAAAGAUAUAUUAACAACAACUUAAUUUAAUGAAAUAUUUCAUUUAAAUUAAUCUUACCAUCUGUUUCACAUGUGCAGCAAACGAAACGGAGCCGCCAGUGUGCGUUGCAACCGAGCCAUGAAUUGGCCGAUUCCGGAUGCCAGCACCAGACUGUGAGCGUCGUGUGAACCGAUCAGACGUCACGUGCUCAAGAUAGUGCGGCCAUAUAUCUUCCAGGAUGUAUAUCGGUUUGAAAUCCCUCCAAACCGCAACAUCAUUCCAGCCUUGGAAACCCCUAUCCCUCACGGUUUGUUUUUCCCUUUUCUGUACUUCAUACCAAAAAUCACGCAACCUACUUCACGCAACCAAAAAUUACAUUUUGAAACAUAAAUUUUAGUCUAAAAAAAUCUUGUAUUUUUUUCGAUCUUACCUAGGUGCCGCGUGAUUUUCCCACACCCUCCUCACAACAGUGUUAUGCUCACUGUCCUAGCAGAAUUUGUGCUAUGUAUAAAUAAACAAGUUUAAAUAAAAACAAUAAUUUAUUUACAAUUAUAUUAAUAAUUUAUUAGAAAUAAGCUGAAAAUUAUAAAUUAACACCAACCUGAAAUCUGCCAAACAUGCAUUGAUUUGAGGCAUCCAUUCAGGAUGCUUGGACAUCUGACUCCAUUGAAACAAUGGAAUCUCCAUCGACGAUUUAAAUGCCGAUGAUAUUACUCGGGUGGCCUCAAUGUUUGUGAACCUGAAAAUAAAUGAAAUAAAUUAAAUAGUGAUUACUUCAUAAAUUAUGUUGUAAUUUUAAAAAAAAAAUUAAACCUUAACAAACUUAUAUUGAAAGGUCGUCCUUCCACUGUGCCUCGUACUUGCGGGUAAAUUGAUUCCACUGCGAAGGCACGCCGCCUCUGCGCUGUGAAGUACCGCUGGAAGAGGCAGCAUCGGUUGACGGCGCAGGUGAUGUAGGUGCCUCUCAAGGAAAUAUCAUCAUCGUUGCUAGACGAACUAGCUGCGACCGUACGUGAGCGACUAGCUCUGGUUUUCAUUCUACGCAUCUCCAUAAUUUUAUACAAAUAAUUAUAUAAUUGAAUUCAAAUGUUAAAAAAAAAUUCGACAGCACCUCCCCUAUACCGGAUACUACUCCCCUAUACUGGAUACUACCCAAAUCCACAAACCUGCACAUAUUAACAAAAGCCACAACCAAUUGACCCAAUCUAUACUAAUUAUUCCAACAUAUUCAAUUACUAAUCCUAAGGUAAAUUCAACAUUAAGAAUUACAAUUCAACAAAUUAUUCAAUAAUUAUGCCAAUACAACAAUAAAAUAUAUUCAAUAAAUAAAAAAAACUGUAGACUGACAAUUAAAAUUAAUUGAAAAAAAUUAAACAUAAAUCAUGCAAUAAUAGAGUAUAAUUAACAAUUAUUCCAAAAUAUUCAAUUACUAAUACAAAGUAAAUUCAACAUUAACAAUUACAAUUCAAAAAAUUAUUCAAUAAUUAUACCAAUACAACAAAACAAUAAAUUAAAAAAAAAACUCUAGAAUAACAAUCAAAAUAAAUGCAAAACAUUAAACACAAAUCAUGCAAUAAUAGAGUAAAAUUAAUAAUUAUUCAAACAUAUUCAAUUACUAAUUCUAUGGUAAAUUCAACAUUAACAAUAAAUAUUCAACAAAUUAACUAAUAAUAAUUAUGCCAAUACAACAAUAAAAAAUAUUCAAUAAAUUCAAAAAACAAAUUAUAGACUUUAGCAAUGAAUUAUGCAAAAACAACUAUAGACUUUAUCUACAUUACAAAAAAUACACCAAAACAAAAAACAUACCAAAAACAAAUAGCAAAAAAAAAAACCCUUAAAGCAAAAAACAUACAUACCUUUUAAACUGAUGGAGAUUCAUGAGAAAAAUUGCUAGAGAUUGCUGGUGAAACCUUUGAAGAACGGAGAGGAAAAGAAUCGGUGAAAAACUGAGGAGAAAAUUGGUGAAAAAACUGAGGAGAAGAAAAAAUGAACUGAAACGGCGGAUGGGGGGACUUAUAUGGCAGUUUUACCGACGGAUUCACCGAUGGAUAUAAAAUUAAUUAUUAUUUUAAUUUAUUCCGUCGGUGAAGUGUCCAAAAUCCGUCGGUAAAUGUUGAAUUUCGCACCAAAAUUUUUAAUGACCCUCCAUAUUUUUCGUGGUCCGUCAGUAAUUCCGUCAGCGAGCUGACGCGGUCACAGAUGCAUUUAAUGCACAACCCUUUGGAAUUCGCGCGGUCCGUCGGUAAUGGCGUCGGUAAAAUUGACCCGCCGACAACUUGCCGACGUACUUAUAUCCGUCGGUAUAGUCGUCGGUGAUUGUGGCAUUUCAAGUAAUUAUUUUCGAACUCCCUGUGAAAUGCCGACGGACUUAAUCCGUCGGUAUGCACGACGGUGAAUAUGGCAUUUCAAGUAAUUAUUUUCGAACUCUUUGUGAAACGCCGACGGACUUAGUUUGUCGGUAUCGACGUCGGUGAUUGUGGCAUUUCAAGUAAUUAUUUUCGAACUCUCUGUGAAAUGCUGACAGACAUAUAUCCAUCGGUACGGACGUCGGUGAUUGUGGCAUUUCAAGUAUUUAUUUUCGUGUUACAAAAUAUAUCAUCCAUGAUCUAUAAUUAUUUCAAGUAAUUAUUUCGUGAUUGUGGCAUUUCAAGUAAUUAUUUCAAGUAAUAAAUAUUUCGUGUUACAAAAUAUAUCAUCCAUAAUCUAAAUUACAUGAAAGAAAGGGUUUUACACAGGGCUUAAAUUUGAUUGUUAGUCAGAAUUUUCUUCUUCUUCGUCAUAAAUUGAAUUGUCAUCACCCUCAUCGCAAUCUUCAAUAUGGAUAUUGUCUUCUUCAUCCACAUUUGCUUGUCCGCUAGAGCUUAAAACAACAUUCAACUCCUCUGCGUCAACAUCAACAAGACUAUCAUCGAAAACACAAAAAAUUGAAUUUUCUUCCAAUUCAAUCGAAGGAGCAACUCGAUAUGGUUCAACCAGCUCACUAACUUGAAAGACUUCAUCUCGCACACUUGUGUCUUCGUUCUCAUCCUGAACAACCUCGACACGACCCCGGGGUUUUGUUUUUAAAACGGACAACCAAUCCACUCUUGAUUGAUCCUUUCUAAAUGAAGGGGUGUAUGUGUAAUAAACUUGUUGACAUUGCUUUGCGAAAACAAAGACAUCGUUUAUGUUGCGGAGUCUAGCUUUUGAGUUGAUUUCGACCAGACCAUAGUGCGGAUCAACUCUGAUUCCUCUGUCAGUCGUGUCAUACCAAUAGCAUUUGAAUAAAAACACUCUAUUCUGUUCGUUAUGAUAUUGCAGUUCGACGACCUCUUCUAAUCUACCAUAGUAGUCAACUUCUAACUCAUUACUAGUGGAUCCCUUAACACAAACACCGCUGUUGUAUGUCUUUCUUCCUUGCCCAUAUUCUUCAGUAUGGAAAACAUAUCCAUUGACAAAAUACCCAUUGUAGAACUUACAUUUUCUUCUAGGCCCAGGCUUAGUGAAGACAAUGACUUAGGCGCACUCAUUUCCAUUUGAUAAACCUUGUAUGUAAUGUACAUCAAUAAACAGUAAAUGAAUGAGAAUCUCGUAAUGACAUGCAUACGUACAGUAAUUUUGCAAGCUAGGAUGAGUUUGUGAUAGUGCUUACAUGUGUUCUGAACCACGUGGCAAACUGUUCAUCUUGUAAUUGAAAGAUCUGGGAUUCGGUCAGCUAUGAGUUAUUGGAGAGCAAAUAUUGUCGAUGUUGCCUACAAGUGAUGAUGAGUGUAUGAUAUUACAAUAUAUAAUUAACAGUAUAUUACUAACAAAGUUUAAUUAGUAUAAACUUACUGAAUAAAAGGUCUCAGCUCAUCACAGUAAAUAGAACAUAGUUGUGUGCUUGUUUGAACUCUAUUUCCGAAAAAUAUCUUCCUCUUACGACAUUUUUAGGUGUGGGUCGUCCAGUAUUGGAGAAUAUUGACAAGUUCCCACUGGAAGGCACUUCACCGCCAUCAUCAUGCAGUGGAACGCGAUUGAUUCUCGUUCUCAGAUGAGGUUUGAAAUAGUACAAGAUAAAUGUUGAGAUCUCCUCAACAAUAUAGGCCUCACAUAUCGAAGCCUCAACAUGCGCCUUGUUCUUAACCUUUUUCUUGAGAUUAAACAAGUACCUGCAUUGAAAUAUUAAUCAAGUAUUUUCAAUUAAGAAAAACAUAUAAAAUACUUUUAUAUAUGAAUUACAUUGCAACUGUAAUAUCUAAUCGUUCGAAUGGGUACAUCCAUCUAUAUUGGACCGGUCCUCCAGCUUUUGCCUCGAACGGUAGAUGUAUAGGGAGAUGCUCCAUUAAGUCAAAAAAUGAUGGAGGGAAUAUCAUCUCAAGUUUGCAUAGUGUCUCGACGAUAUUCGUUUGAAGCCUCUCAAUGUGAUCAACAUUCAACUUGCUGGAGCAUAUAUCUCUAAAGAAAUGACUGAUCUCCGUGAGUGCAUCCCAUAUUCCCUUUGGCAACAAAUCACGAAAAGCUAAUGGGAUGAGUGUUUGCAUAAACACGUGGCAGUCAUGACUCUUCAUUCCAUACAAUCUGCAGUCCUCUAUAUUAACCAACCUUGAUAUGUUCGAUGCAUGUCCAUCCGGAAAACGCAGACUCUUAACCCAUUUGUAGACUAGUAGUUGUGCGUUUUUCUCUAACACAAAGCUUGCUCUUGGUUUUGCGACCCGUGACUCAUCAUAAACCAACUCCAUAUUUUUACGGUUACAGUAUAAAGCUAUAUCCAAUCUAGCCUUGAUGUUGUCCUUUGUCUUCCCCUUCACAUCCGUGAUGGUGUUGAAAAUGUUCUCAAACAUGUUCUUUUUGAUGUGCAUGACGUCAAGGUUAUGGCGGAGCAGAUUGGUCUUCCAAUAAGGAAGCUCCCAAAAGAUACUUCGCUUUACCCAAUUAUGGGUCAAACCAAAACCGGGAAACUUUUGCUUACCUGAUUGAAGGCCAAACACAAUGUCACCGUACUCUGAGACAACAUCAUACAAUUCUUCACCAGAAAGAUGCGGGGAUGCAACAUCUUUUUCAACUCUGCCAACAAAGAAAUCUUUUCUGUUCUUUCUGUACCUGUGAUUAAGUGGCAAGAAGCAACGGUGACAGUCAAAAAAAGAAGCUUUACCUCCAUUUGCUAGCGUGAAUGCCUUGUUGUUUUCCAUGCAGUAUGGAUAUGCGAGUAUCCCAUGCGUGCUCCAACUAGAAAGCAUUCCAUAAGCUGGAAAAUCAUUGAUAGUCCACAUCAAAGCCGCCCUCAUAAGGAAAUUUUGUUUCCUCGAUAUAUCAUAAGUCAGAGCUCCGAAGGACCACAACUACGCCAACUCAUCAAUCAACGGUCGAAGACAAACAUCUAUAUUCCGCCCCGGGCUGCUUGGACCAGGUAUGACAGUAAAUAAAAACAUGAACUCCGACCUCAUACACAUUCCCGGUGGAAGUUAUAAACUGUGAGUAUGACCGGCCAACAAGAAUAAGGAGCAGCAAAUGACCCAAAUGGGUUGAAUCCGUCUGUACACAACCCAAGACGCACAUUCAUUGAUUCAGCUGAAAAGUGAGGAUGGACACUGUUAAAGCGUUUCCACGCUUCGCCGUCAGAAGGAUGAACCAUCACUCCAUCAACCGCAUGGUGUGCUUGGUGCCAUGUCAUGUGCUCAGCAGUCCUUGGUGACAUGAAUAACCUCUGCAGUCUAGGUGUGAUCGGGAAGUAUCUAAGUUUUUUAUAUGCCACUAGAGUCUUUCCCCUGCCAGUUCUAGGUUUGUAACGGGAAUGCCCGCAUGUCAUGCACUCAGUCAUCUCAGCAUUUUCAAGGUAGUAUAACAUGCAGAAGUUAGGGCACAUGUUAAUUUUCUGGUAUCCUAAACCGAUGGGUUUCAUCAUGGACUUCGCAGCAUAGAAGUUCUCUUUCAGCCUGUUCUCUUCAGGUAAAAUGCUUCUUGCCCAUUCAAUAAUCGUGGGAUACCCGGCCUCACUCAACCCGUGAUCUGACUUGAUGGUGAACACCUGUGCUACGACCGAUAAUUUACUGUGAUUCGUGCAGCCAUCCCAUAAUGGUUCGUCAGAAUCUUUCAACAAAUCAAAAAACCUAGCUGCAUCUACAUUAGGUUCUUCUUUUACGAUUGGACAUUAACUGACAUUACCUUGAUUCAUUCUCAUUGCAUCCAUAACCAUAUUUCUGUAAGGAUUAGUGUUGUCAUUUGCCGCUUCAUGCACGUUGCUAGCACUAGAAGUAGACCUAACCACCGUUUCUUCCAUUCUCCUCUCACUAACAUAUACUUCUCCAUGUGCAUACCAACAAUGGUAAUUCUCCAUAAACCCUUUGUGUAGAAGAUGCAUCAUUACAACAUCUGGAUGCAUAUACUUUUUAUUUUGACACUUCCUGCAUGGACACCUAAUACCGCCUCCAGUAAAAUUUCUAGGAAUAGAUGUUGCGAAAUUAAUAAAACCCUGAACCCCGUUACAAUAAUACAUCCUCCGCAAUCCUUGGGGUGAAUCUCGAUACAUCCAUGAUUUAUAUCGAACCUCUAUAAAAUUAUGAUGACAUCAUGUAUUAAUUAACUAAGUUAGGUAAAUAAACUUGCAAAAAUAUUACUUUACCUCGAGAUUAUCCAACAAACAAAUCACAACUUCUCAUAAAUAUUAAAUAUUCAUUAUCAUUUAUCAACGUCCAUACAAAUUAAAAUAUAUAAAUUUACAGAAAUUACCACUCCGCAAUACCAUUGAUAAAACUUUAAACGGACCCAUUAAGCAAGCUAUUAAUUAUUUCAAAACAGCACAUGUACUUCGGUAGUUCCAUAAAGUUUUAACAAUUUACAAACAAAUACAAUCUUACAAAAUCUAAAACAAACCAUAACAGGUAUAGAAUUAUACAUUCAUAUACUACAAGUUUGUUUGAGAAAUAACAAUAAAACAUGUACAUCUACUAACAAAAUACAUAUACUAAAAAAACAAUAAAAUUGACAUUUAAUUAAAUGUUAAAAUUUAAAAAGAUAGAAUUACUUACAAAAAUUGAUAAAAUCCGUCGGUAAAUUAGAACACGGAUGCUGUGACCACAAAACUUCAAGAAAUAUAACUUGUUGUGCUGAUAUGAGGGAGAUUUUUGUUUGGGGGGGGGAGGGGGGGUUGGUUGUUUGCAAAUGGGGAGAGUUGGGAUUGGGAAGAAGAAGGAGAAAUAGGGGAGGAGAGCGUCGGUAGAUCGAACAUAUAUUAACUUUUCCCGACGGUUUCACCGACGGACACUCCGUCGGUGAAACCGUUGAUGAUUCUGACGGAACAAUCGACACGUCACCGUACGAAUCUGCCAUUUCAAAUCCGUCGGUGAUUCUGUCAGCAAUAUAAACGGUGGUCACUGUACAAGUUGUCUUUUUGAAUCCGUCGGUGAUCCCGUCUGAAAAAAUAACCCGCCAAAACCUCCACGUCAGUGACCCGCCUUUUUUUUACGAGGGAAACUUUUCCGUCCGUAAUUCAGUCGGUAACUACCGAUGGAAAUUUUCCGUCAAUAGUUACAGACUGAAUUACGAAUGAAAUAUUGUCCAUCGGUAAUUUCAACCUCAAAUUACCGACAGAAAUAUUCUGUCGGUAAAUCCGUUGCUAUUUAGCGAAUUUUUGGUAGUUAACACUAGUUUUUCGAAUAAAACACAAUUAAAAAAAAAUAUUUUUUUAUUUUUAUUUUGCCGGGUCGAGCCCGGUUCAAUGCAUUUUUAGCUUUGGACCGGACCUGAUCCGGCCGGAACAAUGGAGAAUGCCUCCACUGUUCAUGUGAACAGUAGAGCCAUGCUCAACUGUUCAGUGAUUCCUCCCCCAAAAGAAACAGCAAAAUUGUGCUUCUACAAAACCUGUAGCAUAGCCAUAUUUCUGGUGGGUUCUACAAGCAUAAACUUGUGUUUUUUCCUUAACCAAACAGUAAUAUCUGUGGCUGCGAAUGAACCUCACCCACGACCACACUACCAAACGGGCGGCAUCUUUAAUUUGUUCCUUUUACUUAAUAAGUGUUUGUUUUUUUCUUCUCAAAAACAGAAAACCACCUUCGAUAUGCAGUGCAACAUUUCAUGCCCCAAGUUAGCUAGCUGCUUCAAAACCCUGAAAUAUUGGAAAUUAAAGUUUGCUGGUAGUAAUUUUAGGUUAUAUCUUUGUGAACAUCUUGGAUUCAAUUUGCCAAAUUCUCAGUUAUUCUUGAAUUAACAUAAAUCUUGCAACUCAAGAUAAUUCUUAUUAAUUUUUUUUACAAAGACUUAUUUUUAUUAAUUUAUAUUUUGGAUUUUAUAUAUUUCCUUUUAUUUUUUAGUUAAAUAUAUUUUUAUUUUUUUUACUAAUUAAUAAACUUCUAUACUUUUCUCUUAGAUGCACCAACAAUUUUUAUUAUUAAUAACUUUAUAUUUACAACUAUAUAAACACACACACACACACACACACAUAUAUAUAUAUAUAAUCACUUACUCCAAAAUUGGACUUGCUUCGUUUGUAACUGGUUUGAGACAAAAAUAAUAAAAUUUAAUUCUACAUUCCUAAUUAUGCUCUGCAAAUUACAAACAAUAAAGAUUAAUAAAAUUAUAUGCCAAAAUUAUUUUUCUUUGUUAUUUCUAAUUGGCCCAACUUUAUCUUAAGAAUCCACCCAGGACUUGCAAUUUAUAACCCCAAGCCCUUGGAAACUUUAGAGAUUAUACAAAUGCCCCUUCUAGUCCUAGAUUCAUUGCAACACAUGUAGUGAAAAGAGAGAAACAAACAAGACGAUUUAGCCAAAAACCUCAAAGAAGGUUUAUGCAGGGUUUAAGGCGGCCGGUAUGCUAAUACCACUAUCAUACCCUCUCUAUGAACUCAUUUCCUUUCUCAAAUUGCAUUACCCGCGCAUUUUAAUUCAUUUCUCAAUCACUUCAAUUCCAUUUCUUUUUUUCUUUUUUCUUUCUCAUUUCCUUUAAUUAGAGUGCCAACUCCCGUAUAUUUUCUACCAAAAAUUUUGAUCCUUUGAUUACUUUUGAUAAGAAACCCACAAUUCUAUCUCUAAACCAUCCACAGUUAUGUGGAGAAACGUCGCAAAACAAGCCACUUUGAAAUCCCAAUCAAAGUCCCUCAAUUUCCCUUCAUUUCCAAGAACUUACAGCUUUUUAGGAGCCUCUAAAGAACCCAUCUUUUUUGAGAAACUUAAGUUCCAUUCGCUUAAUAACACAAGUCCACGACUGAGUUUUCGAGCAAUUGGCGAAAUAUCAACCCAUGAAGAUUUUAUGGGAAAACCCCGUUUUAUUUUUUUGAGAAAUAGUGAUAGUACUAAUGGGAAUCGGUGUGCUGGAUUUUGUCCAAGAGGGUAUGUGAGUGUAGUUGAGGCAGUGUCAUCAACAGAUGUUGAAGAUAAUGUGUAUGGUGCGGAUGAAGUGCAAGAAUUGCUGCCAGAAAUGAGGAAAGAAGAGGAGAAAGAGGAGCACUUUAGGAGGAGGCUACAUGCUAACCCUGGAAUAGGGUCAAGGAAGCAUAGGGUCUUAAGGAGAAGGCAAGUGAAGAUUGAGGCGGAAGCAUGGGAACUGGCAACGAAAGAAUAUAAGGAGCUUUUGAAGGAUAUGUGUGAGCAUAAGUUGGCUCCUAAUUUGCCAUAUAUGAAGAGUUUGUUCCUUGGUUGGUUUGAGCCUUUUACAGAUGCAAUUGCGAAAGAGCAGGAGUUGAUUAGAACGGGGAAGAGUAGGCAGGGUUAUGCUCCGUAUUUUGAUCUGUUACCAGCUGACAAGAUGUCUGUUAUUGCAAUGCAUCAACUCGCAGCAAUGGUAAUGACAGGUAGGGAAGAUGGAUGUGCAAGAGUUGUGACUGCUGCUUGUAUGAUUGGUGAUGCAAUUGAGCAGGAGGUAAGUAAUUUUUAAUGUUUUAUUUGUUUAUUUUUACUUGCGGUUUGAUUUGUAGACAGAGGAUAAUGAGUGCCCAUAUAAAAAUAUUGAAAGAUAAGGGAAAACAUAAAGUUUCUUAAAUUUAAUUUUAGACAACCUUCAUCUGAGGUGAUGAACUAGGAAGAAAGAUGAAAGUUACUAUGUACAAUUAUGAGAUAAAAAUCAGCUAUGGAGCUAGUAGUGCCUGGAAAAUUAGAUUUUGAAGUUACGUUCCGUAAAGUUUUGUCGAAUGUUGAAUGGGGUUUUUCUGGAUUUCUUUUUUAUAUAUCUAUAGUUUUUACUUUCAGUCCAAGUUCUUCUGCUGUUCAUGGUUCCAGGGAGGACACUAAAUGUAGGUACGAAAAACAAUGUAGUGUAAGAUCCUUUAGAUACUAAGUUUUUACAAUUUUUUCAUUAUGUGUUAAACUUUUCAUAUCACGGGCCUUAUUAGGCUGAAUAUUCUAUUACGCCUUUCUUUUUUGAGCUACAAUUUCUUCAAAGCAUGGGCAUGGUGGACUCAUAAGAGUGACAUUCAACUUUCCAUUCUUAAUCCAUUUUUUGGACCUCCUACCUCUUCAGUCUUGUUCUCUUUCUUUGAACUGAGGACUGAAUCUGUAACAGUUUCUGUGAUGAAACAGAUUAGAAUACACAAUAUCUUGGAGAAAACAAGGAAGAAAAAGGAAAAGGCUAAUGAUAGCAAGAAUGGUGUAGAAGGUGAAUCCCCUGCUGUCAUGGAGGAACAAGAAAACCUAAGAAAAAAGGUUACUGAUUUGAUUAAAAAACAAAAGCUGCCAGCUGUGAGGAAGAUUGUGAAGGGGAAGGAUGAUUCAAAACCAUGGAAUGCAGAUGCUAGGGCUAAGGUUUGUGUGCUUGUAAUCAUUGAUAAAGGCUAAUUUUCUUGAACAAAUGUAUCGUGUACGAAUUUGAUUUCUGUCCUUGCACUUUGCAGGUUGGAAGCCGUCUAAUUGAAUUGCUGUUACAAACAGCUUAUAUACAGCCUCCCUGUGAUCAGUUAGCUGAUACUCCAUCUGAACCUCGACCUGCAUUUUUACAUACAUUCAGAACUGUGUCGUAUGAAAAUAAGCAUGGAGUCAUUCUUUAAUUGACUCGAUGAGCUCAAUUUAUAUUUUCUUCCUUGUAAUUGCUUCUGACUGAUGCACAAUGGCCUUUUCUCAAACAGGAAGGGCGCAAAAAAAUAUGGUGUUAUUAAAUGUGACCCACUAGUCCUCAAAGGCCUAGAGAAAACUGUGAGUAACCCUGUCAAAUUUUGUUCUUCUAGUGAUAUCUAGUUUUCAUAUUUUAUCAUCCUUUAUGACAUGAACUUGUGUCGGGGUGCCAUAGACUUUCAAAGCAGAUAGGUUAGUUUCUAGAUUUUAGAGCUGAAACAGAUAAGAUUUGUAGGCAAUUUCCAUGGUGCUUCUUAAGUUGCAGAUGUUUGUCUUUCAUUCUUUUUUCUUGCACAAGAAGUCAUAAAAAUGUUGUUUCUCCAAACAGGCUAGGCACGAGGUGAUUCCUUAUAUGCCAAUGUUGGUGCCACCACUUACAUGGAGAGGGUAUGUUAACUUGUUUUAUAUUUACAGUUUUUCCACGAUUGUCUUGUUUUAAUUUUAUAUUUUUUAGUUGGAUAUAUUCCAAGUUCAGAAAUAUUAACAUAGUGUUUUGGUUACUUCUGCUUGAUGCCUGGAGCUGUUUUCAAUUUUCAUGUCAAGUUAAAUACUUAAAAUGGUAUAAUAGAUGAAGGGAUGAAUAUCUGAUUAUAAAGGCUGGAAUUCCAAUCCAAUUUCAGUUAAUUGAAAUUAAUAUUUCAGCAUGUUUCAAGGCUCUGCCUCUCCAUUUCUGUAACCUGCAUUGGAAGGGAAACUAAUUGUCUUGCAGGUGUUUAUUGAAAACAUGGUGAAUGUGAGAUAUGAGAUGGAAGGUUUUGUCUAGGAUUCUCAACAAAACAGAGAACAGUGUCUUUAAACAUUGAAGAGCAUUUGCUAAUCACAACCAUGUCUAAUACGGGAAAAUUAACAUUAUUGCCACAGGCAGGAGAAUUUAGAGAUUGCUAUGGAAUUCUUUAUUAUAAUGUUUUUGAUGUUAAAGGGAGAGGUAUACUUCAUGGAAAAGAAUGAUUGGCAGUUAGAGAUAAAAUAUAGAGAAAGAAAAGGUGUUAGGUUUUCUUCAAGGAUGCUGUGGUGGAUUAUUUUAGCGGAAGAAAAGAUAAGAGUAGCGAAUUGUUGUUUUCAUGUGAAGUCAGACACCUAGUUAAUUUAGGAUUAGGAUAGUACAUAGAGAACUUGAUUGAAGUAGUUCAGUUUCUUUAGGUGAUGAUUCAUAGAUAGGUAUUUAUUUUAAAUUUCAAAUGUGCCAGAAGUGCAAGGAGACAAUAGAUGAUUACAUGGGCAAAAUGGCACAGACGGAUCUCUGCAGUCAAACUGAGAUUUUUGAACCUUAUUGUUUCGCAAGUUAGUUAGGAUAUGUUUUUCAUGGACUUUGGUUAAGUUUUUCAUGAAUAGGUGAUCACAAUCCUCAUUGGAAAAACUACACAUGCUUUGGAAUAUGAAGAGGCCUCUAUGGCAGCUUCUGCCAUUCAACCUAUUGCCUUUAAAUCUGAUAAGCUCCCUAGCGCUUUUGGUUGUAAAUUGCCCAUUAGGACUGAGAUUCCUGGACACACUUUCUAUCUACAAAAAGAAAAGAUUUAAACCAGUGAUUGCACUCUGAAUAUCUUAAUUUGAUCAGAUUGAGCAUCAGACGAAAACCAUUCCAUGAAUUGGUUUUGGGGAAAGAGCACUUUGUUUACUAGCAAGUUUAUAGGGGGUCUUGGCUCUUUCACUCAAUCAUCAUGCAAGUUGCAGGAGGCACAUUAGCAUAGUCCCCACUAAAAUUAAUUUUAGAUCCUUGUAUACAAAUUUGGAAGAUACAAAUUCUUCAUACAUGUUCCUUACAUAUGCUACUUUAAUCUGGAAUUUAAUGAGUUUGUGGUUGGAUUCUGGUUCCCAUGUAGUUGUAGCAACUCUUAACACCACUAUAGCUUCUAGUAACAAAUCAGGACCUGGCAUUUAAGUAGCUUUUUGGUGUGUUCUAAGCUCUUCUUAGAUAAUUGUGUCAUAGCUCUCUUACUCGUGUCGAGCAUAACCUCAAUGCCCUUUGCAGUUAUGAUAAAGGAGCUCACUUGUUCUUACCAUCCUAUGUCAUGCGGAUACAUGGUGCUAAACAGCAACGUGAAGCAGUUAAGACGGCACCUAGGAAGCAGCUACAACCAGUUUUUGAGGUCUGUACAUAUUAGAUGCAUUGCAUGGUUACUGAUGCAUAUUUUAUUGUUUGAACUAAAUCAUCUUUUGGUACUAACAUGUGAUGUUCUUUGAACAAAAUCUCAUACUGAUAAUUUUGUAUACCUUCACAUGCUAUCACAUGUGUAGAUUUUACCAGCUUAGCUUCUGGUUUAACAAGGAUUCUCUUUUGUUUGAAUUAAUUUUCCAGGCCCUGGAUACACUAGGGAAUACGAGAUGGAGGGUAAAUAAGAGGGUACUUAGUGUUGGUGAUAGAAUAUGGAGUAAUGGAGGCUGUCUUGCUGAUUUGGUAGACCACAGUGAUGUGAGUAUCUUUUCGAAUAUUUCUUUUGAAGCUUUUGAAAAGAAAUAUUAACAUUUAUCAUUCAUUUAUGCACUUUUGACCAAAUUUUUCUUUUGCUUUUUUAUGUUGUCCCACUGAGAAGACCUUUUUUGUUCUUUUGUGUGAAAAAAAAAAACUAAAUAAACUAAUUUCAGUUUUUAAAUUCUAAAACAGAUUGAACCAGAUGAAGUCAUAGACUAGUCAUUAUUAUUAUAUUCCCAUUAUUAUUUAUUAUUCUAUAGAUUUUUCGAAGCUUUUGAAAAGAAAAAUAAACAUUGAUCAUUCAUUCACUUUUGAAAAAAAAUUCUUUUGCUUUUUUAUGUUCCACUGAGAUGGCCUUUUUUUUUCUUUUGUGAAUUAUGAUUUGACGUCAAACCAGAUGGAUUAUCAGCUGCAGCCACAAUUAUUUGAUGCAUAGCAAAAUAAUUAUUCAGAAUCACGGUACCUUGGCAGUCCUUUCCAGCCAAAUUGAUGCGUUGCGUGCUAAUCCGAUGAAAAUCAAGAUCCCAAAGAGGGUGAUGCAGCUGAUGGUUGGUUCUCUUCCUUCUUGUGAGUUUUUACAUAAUAAAAUAGCGGCCUUAAUUACGAGAGUACUUCCAUUUUUACAUGAAAAAUGGCUGCGAUUUCCUUUCGUUAUUUAUUAAUCUCUAUCACGACCACAAAAUUACUAAACGCCGACCGAAUAUGAUACAAAAGUGCACUAAUUUUUUUUGGUUUAUUAAAGAUUAUUGGAGUGCAUCUUCCUUGGAUAAUUGUAGACUUUAUUUUCCUAAUUAAUAAAAAAGAUUUUUAUCCAUUGUGGUAGCUUUAAUGCUUUAUAAAUAAAGUAUUGAUCAUAAGAAUUCUAUCAUCCUUACUUUUUCUUGUUGUCGAUUUCAAUGGCCAGUGAAUCUAACUAUAACAUCCGAAGAAUAUAUUGCUUUAGUCAUAAUCUGGUCAUAGAUGAUUUCCCCAUCACAAGCUAUAAGUGCCUCUAUAUAUAACCCUAAUCCCUUCUCUAUGCUUCUUGACAGCUUAUUAAAAAAGGUUCAAGAUUGGGAAUAACAGGUUUGCUCCCUCUGUGAUCUCAGGUUCGAGUCCUGUGGUUCAAGGGCGAAGCUAGGAUUAUUUGAUAGGGGGGCCAAAAUAAUAUAAAAAUAUAUAAUUUUUUUUAAUUUAUUGUAUAUGAAUUGUUAAAAAAAAACUGCAUGAUUUAGUUUUAUUUAAAGAAGUAACUACAAACAUAUGACAAUUUUUGUAUAAGAUAAGAGGUUUAAAACAAUAUCAAAUUGAGUCAAAGUUAAGAAGUUAAUUUCAUCUUCAUAAUAUAUUCAUCACUUUAAUUUUGUUGGUCUUUGUACCUAUCAAAUAUAAACAUACAAAAUAUAUAAGAAACAUUAGCUAAAGCGAUGCAUUAUUUAUGUUUGAUAAAACUUUGAAAUAAAGUAAAAAAUAAUAAAGAAUGAUUCUUACAUAUUUAUUUUAAUUGUGCUCGUCGUUCUUUCAUAGAGUAGAAAUCAUCGAUUAUUAUAUCACUUGUGAAUCUUUCAGCAAUUUCUUUUUCUAUAUAGACAAUCAAAUAAUUUGCAAGAAAAUCAUCCUCCAUCCGAUUGCGAAGUUUUAUUUUAACAAUCUUCAUCGCUGAAAAAGCUCGUUCAGUAGUUGCUGUCGAAACAGGAAGAGUUAAAAUAAGCCGAAUCAACCUGUCAACAAGUGGAUAAAUUGUUGAUUUUUCUGUUUCAACCAAUCCUUGACAUAAUUCAGCAAUCGAUGACAUAUUCUUUAACUUUGGAUGAUUGGGUACAUCAAGCUCAUAAUGCUGCAACUGAAAUCUCAAAUGAGUUUUUUCUUGGUCAGAAAAGUCUUCAGGAUAGAACUUGUCAACAAGUAAGCAUAUAUCUUCAACAUUGAAUAAUUUAUAGUUAUUUUUAGGAUCUAAAGCUGUGCUCAACUUAAGAAGCUCGAUUGCCUGCUCAUUGAAUCUAUUAUUUAGCUCUUGCAACUGUUGAUCAAUGAUAGCUGUAAACAUAUCAACUCGAUAGUGAUGCUCAACUGUUAUUGAUUUUGUUUUACGGCGAGAUCGUCCCACACUAGAAAAACAAGCAUCCAUAUCAGGAACUUCAAUGUCUUGAUGCUUACAAAAUGAUAUCACUUCUUCUAAAAGAGUUUCCCAGCCAUCAUCUCUUAACUUCUGAAUUAAAGUCUUUGUGGUAGUCACCAAAUGCAUAGCAUUUAAAAUGUCUUGAGAUUUCUGUUGCAAAGCUUGGCAAAGCACAUCAGUAAUUCCCAUAACAUUCUUCAUUAUAUGCAAGAUGAAUGCAAAAUCAAAUGACAUUAGCAACUUAAAUGAAAAAGCUGCAUCACCACAUUGAGAAUAAGUAGAUCCAUCUAAAGCGAUGUUUUCAAGAACCAAGCAAGUUGCCCCAUACAUUUUUAUCAAACUGCAAAUUGAUUUGAAGUGCGAACUCCAUCUGCUAUCUCCAGGUCGUUGCAAACCACCUACUUGAUUAACUCCUUUACCCGUUUCAAUCUCACCAAUAUCAACUAAAUGUUCAAUUGUAGCUGCUUGAAAAGCCCGCAAUUCAUCAUUACGCUUGCAAGAAGCACUAACAAUGUUAAUAAUAAAAAUCAAGUUCUGAAAGAAAGUGUGAACAUCAGAUAUUUCUCUAGCUGCAGCAAUAAGAGCCAAUUGUAAUUGAUGAGCUAAGCAAUGUACAUAAUAUGCAUAAGGGCCAUCAUUAAUGAAUAAAGCUUGCAAUCCAUUCCACUCUCCACGCAUAUUACUAGCACCAUUAUACCAUUGGCCCCUAAUAUUUUGAACAUCAAGAUUGUGAUGAUAUAAAACAAAGAAAAUCUCUUUCUUAAGAGUUGAAGCAGUUGUAUCUUUGACAUGAACUAUAUCCAAAAAUCGUUCUCGUAUAAAUCCACUUCUAUCAACAAACCUUAUAACAAGGGCCAUUUGCUCUCUUCUAGAUUCAUCUCGAGCUUCAUCAACAAUUAAGCAAAAUCUUGCAUCACCAAUGUCAUGACGAAUUGAAGACUGAACAUUUCUAGCAAAGACAUGCAAAAUUUCUUUUUGAAUUUGAUGCGAGGUGUAUUUAGCAUUUUGUGGAGCAUUAUUCAAAACAAGAGCACCUACUUGUUCAUUGUAUGAUGCUAAAAGUUCCAACAUUUCAAGAAAAUUACCUCGGUUUUUUUAUUCUGGACGUUCAUCAUGUCCUCUAAAAGCACAUGCUUGAAAUGUGAGCCAACGAACAAUAUCUAUUGAAGCUUUAAUACGCAAUCGAUUAUUUAGAAUUUCUUGAGUAGUUUGCCUCUUAACUACCUUCUCAAUAUGACAUGACUGAUUUCUCAAAUUUUCCAAGCACCUGGUAGCAAAUCUAUGAGCUGAAUUCGGAUUUUUUCCCAUAUGAGUUAAAAAAGCACAUCGUUCCCCGUCAUUAACUUUCUUCCAACAAUUGAAUCCUUUAAUAGUAAAUGUGUCUGAUCUUGGCUUUCCAGAUGACUUACUUGAAAAUAGAUAGCAAGGGAAACAAAAUGCAGUAUUUUUCUCUGAAUAUUCAAGCCAUGGAUAACUUUUGAACCAAUGAAACUGAAAUCGACGAGGAUGUUUUUUACCAGUCAGCGGAUAUUCAGACAUCAAAGGUUGAUAUGGCCCCAAAUUAAUGUAUGCCCUUCUAAUUUCAUCUUGUUGAUUAACCGGGUAUUCCCAAAUUUGAGGACGAUUGCUUGGAUCUCUAAUCAGAUGAGUAGUGUCGAUUCUAGUUGGAGGCCGCUCGUUAAUCAAUGCAGGUUCUUCAUAAACUGAAGCAUAUUGGAGUUGUUCAACUAUAACUUCAACAUUACACAUUGGAGUUGAUUCACUAGGCUGUGAGUUAUCAAUAUUUUUUCUCUUUUUCUCAAAAAAGGAAUCAAUUCUUCUUAUUUUGUUCAUGGUUCAACCUAAAAUCAAAACAUCAUAAAUUUUUAUUGUUUCCUAUUUAAAAAAUAAAUACAAAUAACAAUGUAUUGAAGCAAUAAUCAGAACCAAAAAUAAAUUUUUACAUGUAAACAACACUGACAUAUAAAAGUAAAAUUAACAUAUUAAAAAAAGAAAUUGAUAUAUAAAAGCAUAUCUAACAUAAAAAAUGGGAUUACUGGUUCCUAAAUAAGAAAACUUACACUGAAUCAAAGUUGGGUAUACGCUCUUCAAAGAACUCAAUUUGGCUAGAAAGAUCGUGUCUAAUUGUAUAUUGGACCUGGUGAUAGUAAGGUACACGUGAGAAAAAAUUGAUAAUUUUGGUGGCUCUGCUAAAAACAAAACAUAAAAAAAUCCAAGCAUAAUCGAAACAAACAAACCCAUAAAAUAUAUCCAAUUAAUUAGAAAAAACAAUAUUCACUAUAACAAGAAAUAAAAAAUGGUAAAACUAGUAAAUUUGAAAAAAAAAGCAGAAUUAUAUAUAUAUAUAUAUAUAUAUAUAUAUAUAUCAAAUUCUUAACAAACAUAAAAAAAAAAAAAGAAUUACUAAUUACCUUGAUGAAGAAUUAAUUGGCAGCAGCUUUGCUUUACCUUUAUGCUUUGUAUUAGUAAUAUUUUCGGUUAGGGUUGCAGAGAAGAAAGAGAGAGAGGUAGUAAAGGAAGGGAAAAAAAGUAAAAAGCUUAUUUGGCCUUUUAUAUAGAGAUACGGAGAUAUGGCUUUAAAAGCAAACAUAACUAAUAAAAUAAUAAUUUAGUAUUAAAUAGUCUAUUAUUUAUUAUAUUUAAAAAAAAAAUUUUGCAGGGGCCGGGCCCCUGCUGGCCUCCCCUUGGUUCUGCCGCUGCUGUGGUUGCUCAUAUAAUGGUCACUGCAGGUUUACAUGGUCGUUAACUUUAGGGCAUGUGAGAUUAGUCGAGAUAUGCGCAAGUUGGCCCGAACAUCCACAUUAAUAAAAAAAAAUUCAAAGAUUAUUCAUUUCAAAUGAGAAAAAAAAAAAUCAUAACGAGCGAAUCUUGUGAAUAAAUUACCGUAUUUGGACGCAACGAAACCGAGAAAAAACAAAGGUAAAGUCUAGACAAGAGCGCGCGCAUAAACUAUUUAUUGAUGAGCUUGUUCGUAUCAACAUAAAUAAAUAUCAAAGUAAUCCAAGCAAACUUUUGCAGAUUACGAAGAAUCUAAGUCGACAAAAAAGCUUUCAAUCAAAGUGUAUAUUUGAUAUAGAUUCAGUUUAGUAAAAAUUGUUUUUUAAUAUUUUAUUUUUAUUUUUAAAAAUUUAUUUUUAACAUGAAAAGCAUAUAAAAACAUUAUAAAAGAUUGAAAAAUUACAGUAAACCAUAUAACUUUUUGAAAGAUUUUGUACACGAAACCCUUGCUUAAUGACCGUGUAAAAUCAACACCCUUGGACGGUACUUUUGCUACAGUUUUUUGGAUAGUUCAAACUCAUUUAAAGUAUUUUUAGUUGGAUGUUCAUAUAGGUGAAAACAAAAGGAUUACUGUUACCUAACAUGAAGUCGAAUGAAGGUUGACAAAGUCAAAGACAGCGAUCAGACACGCAAAAAUGCAAUGAAUCAGCAUGUUCUGGACUUCCCACAGAUACACCUGUUUUCUACCACACUGAUUUUGGGACCCAUUAUAUCUGAAAAUGUCUUCAACAAAGCAUCUUCUCCUUCUUUCUUUUUCUUUUUUUUUUUAAAAUCUUUUGAUAUGCAUAUUAAUUCAACAUUACAUAAGGGCUAAGGUUUUUGUGAAUAAGGGGCUAUUCACACAAAAGAAUAAAAAGCCAUGAACAAAUGUGCAGCAGACAUCCAUCAAUGCAAGAAGUGCCCAUUUUCAAGAACUCUAAGCAACUCCUGAAUCAUUAUAAGAAGCACAAUACUGUCCAGUUGUUCUCAUGAAAUUAUUUUCCUCUAACCUCAUUAACAAUUCAUUGAGAAUCCCAAUAACUGAUUCAGUCACUUAAAAACCUGAACAAAACCCUCAAAUAUCAAAUCUUUAUAUGUUUCAAUAUCUAAAAAGAAGAAAAAACAACCAAAUUUUCGAACUUUUUCCCUCUAUUUAAAAAAGGGGGAAAAAAAAGCAAUAUAGGCCAUCGAUUUCUUUUCCUUUUUUUGUUACAUGGAGAGCAGGUAGAUCUCAUUAAGGCAAAUAAUUCAUCAAUUAGGAGGUGAUGCCACCUAACUCGGCAUUUGACGCAACACUGAUGAAUUAUAGAAAAAGUGAUGUGGCAGAGGUAAUAGAAAUUAAGGGUUUUGAGCAAUUUUUCAGAGCUAAAUAGAGAUUUAUCACAAACAAAUUUUAUUAGUAAAUGCUUUUAUAAACAAGUGAGAUAAGGCUAAAUCUAAAAGAAUGCUUGAUGAAUCACACCAAACUAGCAAAAUGAUAAUAAAAUAUCAUAAUUUUUUAUCUUACUAUUGAAUUAGACUAAAAUUUCUAUAGAUUAUUUCUAAGGCUUAGUUUUAUAAGUUGCUGCGCUUGCGGCAACCAUAUAUUCGAGUCCUGGAAGACCUCAAAUCAUGCCUCAAUGAUACUGUUUGAUUCAAUUUUAUUAUUUUUCCUUGAUUUAUUUUGGAUUUUACAUUAUUUUUGAAUUUUUAGCUAUCUUUCUGUUUUGUUUUAGGAUAAUAAUUUUUCUUACUAUGUUAAGGUUACUUUCACGCCUAUAUAAAGACUUGUAAAUAUCUAGAGAGACAAAAGUUAUCAAUUCAUUAUUUCAGAAAUAAAAAUAAGAUCUUAGGAGUUAGGAUUCUUCGUGUUUUAAUCUUAUUUUGGCUAAUUCUUUAUCUUUAUGUGCUUAUUGAUUGUUAUCCUUGCAGGGCUUUCGACUAUAUCAAAAAGUCUACCCAUAAUUUUCAUUAAUUGUAUUUAAGAAUGGAGUUAUAGUUUGACUCACGGUGAUGAGGGAUGAAUGUUCAAUUUUGAAAACAUGACCUUUGAGUUUUAGAUAAUUAGACUCGGUUAAGAGGGUGGUGGCUAAGUUUUUUUUUUUAAAAAAAAAAUCAAUGUAAAAUUUAUAAUAUUUAAUAUAAGAGCUUUAUAAUUAUUAGUUUGAAAAUAAUAAUAAUUUUGUAAAUUAUUAGAUGUUUUUUGUUGAUAUUUUUUAAAAUAAUAAUAAUUUUAUAAAUUAUUACGUGUGUUAGGGAGGACAUAAACUGUCAUCAUACACUAUAAUUUCUGAAAAAAUAAAGAUAAAAUAACUAAACUACACAAUGAUCAAGUAAUUUCUCCUUUUAAAAAAAAUAUCAUAGAAACUUUUUAUUGUAUCUAAAAUGUCCUUAUUUACUUUUUGAAAAAGAUAGUCAUAGGAAAAACUUAAAAGAUUAGAGAAAUAAACAUGAUUAUUUAAUUUAAUUUUGUUUUUGAGUUUAUUUUCUUAAAAAUAUUUCUAUAAAUUCUUAUUAUUUUCAUUUUAACUAUUUUUAUCUAGACAAUAAUUAAGGGCGUUAUAUGUAUUAGAAUAUGUCCUAUAAAAUCGCCAAAUUUUUAAAUAAUUCUUACAAUUUUACAGUACUUCGCACGAUUUUUGUGAUUCACCUUAGAACUUUUGCAUGCACAUAUUAAUGCACGGUUUAUGGUGUUUUUUUCACGGUCAGUUUUAAAAUUUUGUUGGAAAGUUCUUGGAACGCAAAAAUAUUUAUAUAUGUUAAAUGAUAUGGACUUGAUAAUUCAUUAAAAAAUAUGAAUCACUCAAUUGUGUGGCCCUGCUCUUGACAGGAAGAUCCGUAAGAAAAUCAUUGGAAACUUACCGGUACGAGUUCUUGACCUCAAGAAACCGGAAAAAAUUCGAAGUCAUUGGAAUAAAUAGAAACAAAAGGGCUUUGGAAGUUGGUUACUAAGAUACUAGAAGAAGAAGAAAUAUUGGGCUUGGCUGGAUCUUGUGCCUCUUUAACCAACACUUACCACACGGUUUGUUUCGUCUAGAUUCGUGAAAUACUCGUAGAAAUUUGGUGUUUUCUGAUUUCUAAGUAGAAUUGUACUUGUUCCAGCUUGAAAUUACUAGUUGGUAGAUUUAAUUGCCAAAUUUCUUGAUCUUACCUUCUGUUUCAUGUUUGACCACAGGAGCAGGCCUUAUACAAAAUAGCGUGGAAAGCAAUUGCUGAACCAAGCGAGCAAGUUGAGGCCAGAAGGGAUCGGUACUAGUUUAUCGCUAUAGGGAUUUUCAUGGCUUCCACCAGCGUGCAAGGAAUAACCUCAUCUUCAUCUUCUUCUUCUUCUUCUCCUCCACUAUAUAUGUAUGAUGUGUUCCUUAGUUAUAGAGGCAAAGACACCCGGAACAACUUUACUAGUCAUCUAUAUUAUAAUCUGGCACAGAGAGGCAUCGAUGUGUACAUGGAUGAUAGGGGGCUCGAGAGAGGAAAGACCAUCGAACUUGCUCUCUGGAAGGCCAUUGAAGAAUCAAGGUUUUCAGUCAUUAUAUUUUCAAGAGAUUACGCUUCUUCACCAUGGUGCUUGGAUGAACUUGUCAAGAUUGUUCAAUGCAUGAAAGAGAAGGGUCACACUGUUCUGCCAGUUUUUUAUAAUGUGGAUCCCUCAGAGACAUAUGAGAAAGCCUUCGUUGAGCAUGAACAAAAUUUCAAGGAAAACUUGGAGAAGGUCCGGAACUGGAAAGAUUGUCUCUCUACGGUGGCCAAUCUAUCUGGCUGGGACGUCCGGAAUAGGUAAAUCAUCUAUCUACUUAUUCUUAUUCUCAAAUCUGCCCUGUAUUGUUUCGUUGAUGAACAAGCAUAAUAGUAAAUGUGUAUUUUUCAUAUGCAUGAAUUUUUAUUUUUAUUUUUUUAUGAUAUUUUGAACUGAUGUGAUCAAGCAUUUCUAAUCUUUAUAUAAAACUUCUUUCUAUUCUUAGGUUUUUCUAUAUAUUUUGAAAAUAAAAUAAAAUAUUAAACAGAAAAAUUAAAAUGAAUAAAAAUGUUGAAAAACAAAUCUAGCAUGAACAAAUAAAAAAGUUAGGUAAAAAAUUAAAAAUUGUGAAGAAAUAACAACAAAUUCAUCAUAAGAAAUAAAAAAUUGACCAAAGUUUUUGAAUAUGUUAGUUUUAUAGCUUUUCAAAAUAAAAUAAAAAGAUUUUCCAUCUUGAAUUAAAAAAUUCAAACUAUUUAUAAAUCAAAGAGACAAAUUUAUUUAUAAUUUGUUUUGUGAAUAUUUUUAUUUUUUUAUUUGGAAUUAAAAUUUGAUAGGUGUCUUUCUUUCACUAAUGGAUUGUAACAAUGAAUUUACUAAUUUUUCUGCCUUAUUUUAUAGAACACACAAGCGAAUAAGUUGUUCUGCCUUAUUUAAGCAGCAUGAGCAAUGACUUAUGACACCCAAAAAAGAUCUUCAUUGAUGUUUUCUCAUUCACCACGACAUGAGCUACCUCCCGGAGUGGCAUGUGUGGAGUAAUUAUUUUUGGUUUGGCACCAAAAUGACUUUCUUUUUUUUUCUUUUCUUGUCUUUUUCCUUGAAUACCGCACCCGACCUUCUAAACUUGUAUAGUAACUCUUCAAUUUGGAUAUCAACUAUGUUAAUCUGGGAAAAAAGAAAGACUACUAUGGAAAGAAAUCCGAAAAUAAGUUGUUUUUUAAAAAGUUUACUAUGCAAGAUAGUUGAAAUUUUUGUUAAAAAUAAUUAUAAAAUUAACUUAGUGUUCGACAAAAAAUAUGAUAGAACUCCAUUUGCUUUUUUGGCCAGUUAAAACCAAACUUAAUGAAUAUUUUAUUUCCUAGCUGUUGUUGUAUGCUUGCUUCUGUAGUAUCUGUGUGAUUUUAUAGGCAAUAAGAUAGCUAUUGUACGGAUCAUUCUUAGCAUUAAUACAAUCCUAGUUUCGUUUUCAGUUUAUUCUUUCCUUUUCCUCUCUGUUCUUGAAUCUAUCUAUUAUCAGGGCCCUAUUUUUCUCAAAGGUUGGUGUAUUAAUUUCCGGCUAACAGCCAUACAUUUUCGAGCUACAAUAUGCUAAUGUCUAUUUUCACAUUAUCACUAUCUGAUUUGAUUUCUGCACACUGCAUGAUUAAUGUUUUGCACCCUUCUAUGCAGGAAUGAAUCGGAAUCAAUUAAAAUAAUUGCUGAAUACAUAUCGUACAAACUAAGCGUCACUCUACCAACAAUUAGCAAAAAAUUAGUUGGAAUAGAUUAUCGUGUAAAGGUAUUAAAUGGCUAUAUAGGUGAAGAAGUAGGCAAAGCAAUCUUCAUAGGGAUUUGCGGAAUGGGUGGCAUAGGUAAGACGACUGUUGCAAGGGUAUUAUAUGAUAGGAUUCGUUGGCAAUUUGAAGGCAGCUGCUUCUUAGCAAAUGUCAGGGAUGUUUUUGCUGAGAAAGGUGGACCACGCCGUUUACAGGAACAACUUCUUUCUGAAAUCUUAAUGGAACGUGCUUCUGUAUGUGAUUCUUAUAGAGGGAUUGAGAUGAUAAAGCGGAGGUUACGACUUAAAAAGAUUCUUCUUAUCCUUGAUGAUGUAAAUGACAAAAAACAACUAGAAUUUUUGGCUGCAGAGCCUGGAUGGUUUGGUCCAGGGAGCAGAAUUAUCAUAACAAGCAGAGAUAAAAAUGUGUUUACUGGAAAUGAUGAUACUAAAAUUUAUGAGGCUGAGAAAUUGAAUGAUGAUGAUGCUCUUAUGUUAUUCAGCCAGAAAGCUUUCAAAAAUGAUCAACCUGCUGAAGAUUUUGUGAAACUAUCUAAGCAAGUUGUGGGUUAUGCUAAUGGCCUUCCACUGGCUCUUGAAGUUAUAGGUUCGUUUUUGUAUGGAAGAAGAAUCCCUGAAUGGAGAGGUGCGAUUAAUAGAAUGAAUGAGAUUCCUGACGAUGAAAUUAUUAAAGUGCUUCUCGUUAGUUUUGAUGGCCUCCAUGAAUUAGAGAAGAAAAUAUUUUUAGACAUUGCCUGUUUCCUUAAGGGAUUUAAAAUUGAUCGAAUAACAAGGAUACUUGACGGGUGGCGUGGAUUCCAUACAGGUAUUGGAAUACCAGUUCUUAUUGAGAGAUCUCUCAUAAGUGUCUCUCGGGAUCAAGUCUGGAUGCAUAAUUUAUUACAGAAAAUGGGUCAGGAAAUUAUUCGUCGUGAAUCCCCUGAUGAGCCUGGAAGGCGCAGUAGAUUGUGGACAUACGAGGAUGUCUGCCUUGCACUUAUGGACAACACAGUGAGUAGCUGAUAGAGAACAUUAUCCAUAAGAUUUCAUGAAGUUUAUUUUAAUUUAUGCUACAAAUAUCUAUUUGUUUUUUACUUGUAUUCCCUUUUGGUUGACAGGGAAAAGAAAAAAUAGAAGCCAUUUUCUUGGACAUGCCUGGAAUAAAAGAGGCACAAUGGAACAUGGAAGCCUUCUCUAAAAUGAGCAGACUAAGAUUGCUCAAAAUCGACAACGUGCAGCUUUCUGAAGGACCUGAAGAUCUUUCCAACGAGUUACGAUUUCUUGAAUGGCAUUCUUACCCUUCAAAAUCAUUGCCAGCUGGUUUACAGGUGGAUGAGCUAGUUGAACUUCACAUGGCUAACAGUAGUAUUGAGCAAUUAUGGUAUGGGUGUAAGGUGAGAUCACCUAAUUUAAGGGCCUUUGUAUUUCUUUUUAUCGUUUUCUAUAUAUUUAUGAUAGUAGCAUCCAUAUUUCUUCUCCCCUGCCUGAUUGCAGAGUGCAGUUAAUUUGAAAAUCAUCAAUCUCAGCAACUCUCUAAACCUGAUCAAGACUCCAGAUUUUACAGGAAUUCCGAAUCUCGAGAACCUAAUUCUUGAAGGUUGUACAAGUUUGUUUGAGGUCCAUCCAUCACUUGCACGUCACAAGAAGCUUCAAUAUGUGAAUCUUACGGAUUGCGUAAGUAUU